rnacentral:lncRNA from 1 species
UGAUGAUUAACUUAGAUGAUUAAACUUAUAUCCUAAAUAUAUAUAUAAACAGAGGAGAGGUAUAGAUGAUAUCUUAAAAAUCACAAAAGUCAAUACACAUAUUCAUUUUUGUUUUUUUCUUUUUGUUUUAGGUUACAUAUGACAUAAUUAGACAAUCAAACCAUCACCACAUAGAAAAUACAAAGCAGGAAACGUCAAAAGCUUAAGAGAGUGAUUACGCAACACACAAUAAUGUCACGUCCUUUAUUCUAACACACACACACGUCUCUUAGCAUAUCAAACACAUAUUUUUUCACCAGUGUUCCUGGCAUAUAUGGUUUUUAGACCACAAUAAGUUCUUCAACAGCUACAGUUUGACCCGCAGCUGCAGUUUGAUCCACAGCUACAGUUGUCGCACUCCUGGUUGUAGUUCUUCUCGCAACUUUACCACACAAAAUAAAAUCAUAAUCAGAAUUUAUUAAUUAGUUUAUAUGAUGAGAUUUAUAUAAGACUAAUUAAUUAACCACAUCUAAAUAUGCAAGACCGACCUGAAAUAUUUCCUGAGUCUAAUGCAAAUUUAAAAUUUAAAAAAAACUAAAAAAUAUUGGAUCUAUUAAAAGUAAAAGAAGAAACGUAAGAAUUUUGAAGUUGUACCAUGGAGCAAUUAAAUCUCAAGUACCGCACAAAACCUAAUUUUCCUAAUAUAGUUUUGAUGCAUGUAAGUAAAGACAGAUACAAGAAGAGAAGAUCUAGCUAGGGCUAACCUGCAAGAGUCACCGCAUUUGCAGGAGGAGCCACAUCCACAGUUAGAACCUGCCAUUUCUUCUUUGUUAAUUGUAGAUUGUUGUAGUUUCUUUUCUUCUUUUUGUUCGGAUGCUUUUGUGAAUUCAACAAAAGGGAAUGACCACUAUUUAUAGAAGAAGAGAAAGAUGCGUUUUAUAUCCACCAUACACGUGGCUUUUCUUAUUUCCUCAAGUUUUAAUUUCGUGUAUGACAUUGACAAGGUAAGAAAAAGAAAAGAAAAGAAAAAGAUUGUAUAUACACGGGCAGGAUAAUUGGAUUGCUUUCUGGUGAGAACAAUAUUAAUAAUCUUAAACAAAUCUAAUUAGAAAUAACAUCAACUUGCCUAUUUAUGUUCUUUAAUCUUAGAUUUGUUCUAACAGUUUCAUUCAGGAAAGUAAUUUGAUGUUUUAAUAUGAGUUUCAACAAAUAAAAUAAAAUAAGUCGUACACGCAACCAAGAGUAACUAUCUCAAUUGUAAACGGCAGCCGACCCAAAAAAAAAAAAAAAAAAGAAAGAGGCAUGAAGCUUGCCUCUUUCAUUUACUUACCAGUAUGUAUGUAUGUUUGUUUUGACAACAUGUUAAUAAUAUUUUCAUACGCGUAUUAUAUCUAUGUACAUUACAAUAUACAUAUUCAUAGUUUACAUAUGUAUCCACUAUAUAUGCUGUAUUAUAUGGAUAAAAGGAACAUUAUCCUAAAUCUUGUAAAUGUUAUCUUAUGCGUCAGGAAAAAAACUUAAAUUAAAUGAGAAUUGUUGUCCUCUGUCUUGAAAUCUUCCUGUAUUUGGACGAGAUCCAAGACACGGUCUACGUUCUAUUAUUUAUUUAUAAUAUCAUGAAAAGCUUUAGUAUGAGAAUUAUAUGAUCCAUUUUUGAGAUCCGUUUUAAGAUAAAAUUGGCUUUGAGCUUGAUACUUAAAAAAAUUAGGGUAGAUGGAGGAUAUAUAUGUUUUCCAUUUUCUCCCCCAAAAUAAAACUAUUAGUAUGAUUUUGUGGUGUUAAAUCUGUCGGUGAGAGACUGAUUUCUGAACAAAGCCUAUUUUGUCUCUGCUGCCGAAAGUUUUGAGUAGGUUCCCUAACUUUUUACUAAUGUUGAGGGAGCGUCAAAGAUAUGAGAACCAUGCAAAACUUGUUUGGGGUUGAGUCGUCUCUGUCUAUCCUAUAUUCUUAGGAAUUCACAAACGUCGCUACUUUACGUAAAAGACAAGACAAUCGAAGGAAUAAUAAUCGUAGAUAGGGUCAUUAUAGAAUAGAAUAGUAACAUGCAGUAAAGUUGGGGUUAUGAGAUGUUUUCGUUGGCUGCUUCUUGGCCCUUCGAGGUCCUCAAUAUGUAUUGGUCGUGAAAUUACGUUCCAUCACAACUCACAAAUCCUAUCGAAUAUUUUUCUUUCUUUUUUGACUUCCUAGUUCCUACGUGCCGGCCUCGUUUACUUGAUAAUUUUGCCUGUAAUUUUACAAAACUAAUUGUGACAAUUAUAAUAAUAGGAUUCUAAUAAUAGGAUCAAAUAUUGCAGCUUUAUCUUAGUAAGUAAUAUGUUGUCUUAAAUGUAAAGAUUAUCACGUAAUCUUGUUAAAUUACAUGUUUAUACUAAAAAAAGAUAGAGAGAAACUUUUGGACAUAUUAUUUAGCAAAGAGGGAUUAUACAGUCCAACAAGAAAGCUCUAUCCAAAUAUCUCAAAUUAAUGUAUACUAAAUUUUUUUCAUACCUAUCAUAUAUUAAAUUAAAACUUAAAGCAAUAAAAUAUAUGUAGGAAAGUUGACAAAAUAAAAUAUACUUUUACAAAAAACAAAAGUUGACAAAAUAGAAAUUAUAUUUUAUAUAGGAAAAUUUAUAUAGAUGUAUAUAUGUGUGGUGGAAAUAAAUCAAAUAAUGAAACAGAAUCUUCCUCUUUUUCUAUAAUUAGUGGCCAUUCCUUUUGCUUAAAUCGCAUAAAGCAUCAGAAGAAGAAGAAAAAUAAGCUACGAAAAUUAAUCAACAAGAUCAAGUAAGAGAAAUGGCAGGUUCUAACUGUGGAUGUGGCUCCUCCUGCAAAUGCGGUGACUCUUGCAGGUUAGCCCUAGAUCUUCUCUUAUUUACCUCUGUAUGAUAUGUAUGUAGUUGCUUAGUAUAUCUUAUCAUAUUAAUAUGAAAUUUUGAAUUCGUGCUUCUCUUUUUUUGUUUCUCUAUUAAUGUUUGGUGAAGUUGCGAGAAGAACUACAACCAGGAGUGCGACAACUGCAGCUGCGGAUCAAACUGCAGUUGCGGGUCAAACUGUAGCUGUUGAAGGAUUCCUUGUGUGGUCUUAAAUCAUAUAUAUAUGCCAAGGAAAGUGGGAAAAUAUGUCUGUUGAUGAUAAGAUAUCUGUGUGUGUUGUUGGAAUAAAGACUUGGCAUCUAUAUUAUUAUUGUGUUGCGUAAUAACUAUUAUCAAGCUUGACUUGUUCCUGCUGUGUAAUGUUUUUAUCGUGUAACGUAAGACACAAAUAUAUAUGUAUUUGACUUUUGUGAUUUGAUAUGUCUCCUCUCUCCAUAUCAUAGGAUAUCAGAAAAUAUAUAAGGUUAAUUAACUAAACAAAUAUAAACAUUUUUAGGAUAGUUAAUUACAGUUUUGAACUUUUGAUUAUCAAAUGUUUCUAGCAUUUUGCAUAAUCAUAUCCUGUUUUACUAAACAACGUGAAAUAUUCAAUUAUAAAUUUUGUGAAAAAAAUUCAUUGUAUACAACAGUUGAGCGAGUUCACCAGAACAAAUUUGUUGCUCUACUGAAACAAGCUGAACUCAAAAGAGAUACAAAACUAAAACUAGUCAACACAGAUAUUCUCCAAUUUCAAUCUCUCUGAUCCUUCACCGUCACCGUCUACAAGCAUUUUCAGACCAUCUUUAAGCUCAGCCACGCCUUCUUCAAGAACUGCGCAAACCGGAAAUAUUCUCACUCCUUUCACUCUCCUCUCAAGUUCUUUCAAUCUCUCGUCUGCACCAUCCUCAUCGAUCUUAUUUGCCACAAUCAAAGACGACCUAUCGGAUAACCCUUCUUCAUGGUACUCAAGCUCCAUCACCAAAUCUCUCAGUUGUUGCCACGGUGUCACUCCUCUGCAACCAUCUAGCCCCGAUGCUAAAUCCACAACGUAAGCCAAGACUUUGGUCCGUUCUAUAUGGCGGAGAAAGUUGUGGCCUAGACCCCGGUUCUGAUGAGCUCCUUUUAUAAGUCCCGGAAUAUCUGCUACCGUCAUGGAGAAAUCAUCGUAGUUUACGUUUCCUAAAUUCGGACGGAGUGUCGUGAACGCGUAGUGGCCCACUCGGGGUCUAGCACGGGAUAGCGCACCAAGAAGAGUGCUUUUCCCUGCGUUUGGCAACCCGACAAGGCCAACGUCGGCAAUGCUCUUGAGUUCUAAUAUCAGAACAGACUCAGAACCGAGCGAGCCGGCUUUAAUACUUGACCGUUCAUCUUCAUCUUCAGCAUCGUCCUCCAUGCUCCUCAAAUUGGUUUGACGGAUAGCGGAUUUAGCAAACUUGCUGCCUUUUACAUAACGUGUAGCACAAACGUUACCCAAACCGCCUUCACCACCACGAGCAAUGCUUAUUCUCUGACCUUGUUCUGUUAAUUCCGCAACGUUAUACCUGAUUUGAUCAAUCUCUCCUUCGCUGUCUUCAAAAUCAUCUUCCUCUGGGAUGCCUAAAUGUCUCGUCAAACUCUCUUUCUCAGUAUCAUCAACUUGAACAGACUCAGGCAUAGUUUCUUGAUGAGCACCAAGGUUCUCCUCAAAGGCAGGAUUCUCAACCAGUGAGCCAGGAAGAUCCCAUGGAUCCAAAUCUUUGGGAGACUCAUUUUCCACCUGACACGGAAGCUCACCCUCCUGAAGAUGAAUAACUGUCCCAAUAGGCACUUGUAGGACCUGCAAUAACACAAAUAAGUGCAGAACCAUGUAUAAGUUGAAGACAAAUAAAAGAAAGAAGCAGAGGAACAGUAAUGAAUCAUAAUAAAACCUUGUCUUCUCCUCUGUUUCCUAUCCUGUUCUUGGAAGUUCCAUGUCCAGCUUUCCCACCUUUCUGCAAAACUCAUAAAACCAUUUAAGUUAAAUGAUCUUUCCGGGAAAACGAAAAGAGUGACAUAAACUUACAACAUGAGGUUGUAAUCCGCUGAAAUCCCAAACUGCGUGUGUGCAUUCUAAUAUCACAUCACCUCCUCUGCCACCAUUGCCACCUAAACUAAGUUCCAAUUACAUUACAUCAACAUAAACAUUCUUCGAAUCAAUCAAUCACUCAAAGAGUGUUCCAAUUCUAAAGUAUACCAAACCUAAAACAUAGCUAUGGAUUGGGAAUAAUUCAUCAAUUUGGAGAUAGUACCAUCAGGUCUUCCAUAGCGAUCGGCACGGCUCCGUCGGAGGCUGGAACAACCACUGCCACCUUCACCGCCGCGUGCGUACAGUGUAAACCUAUCUCUCAUCCUAGUCUCCUGCACAGCAACACACAUAUCAGAUUCAGCUGUAAUAAAUUAGGGUUUUUAUUUGUGGGGGAAGUGAAUAGAUGAUGAAAUCACCUGCAAAGGCGCAUCUUUCCCUUUUUUCUCCGAAAAAUCUGAGUAGAAUACCACUGGAUAACUCAUCCAUGGCGGUUUUUGAGUUCUUCCGUAAGAUCCCAAACAUCGGAGCCGGCUUAGCCACAUCAACUCGACCUCUUUCCGACGGAUCUCCGGCGACCUUAGAGAAGGUUACAGUAAAUUACAGACACAGGAAAGUGCCCUCGAGGUAGUUGAUCGAUCGGGGGAGUCACCGCGGUGGUGGUCGGAGACCAAUCCGAGCCAGUGGCUAGUGAGGGUUUAACGUAAUAGGCUCAGCCCAAUAAAGUAGGAACGGCCCAUUAAGUGAAAAUAAAUGGACUAAAUUAGCCUUUUAACUGAUUUAACUGCUUAUAGAAAAUGUCUUAUUAAAAAUUGUGUUUUCAUCAAAAAAAAAAAAAGUUGGGACUGACAAAGCAAGUUAUUAUACAAGGUGUAAGAAAUCUUGGAUUUUGUAUCAAAACAAAUAUUUAUAUACAUGUAUAUCAAAAAUAAAAGGCAAAAACCUACCUGAAAUAUUCAAAAAGAGGUUUUCUAUUUGUAAACUAUACUAAUAAACACAAAGCAGCUCAUCUAGAACAUCAUCAAAAAUCAGAUCUUCAAGCUCAAGGGUAAGCCAUUCAGAUUCACGUCGUAGAUUCAUCCAUCCAUCACCCUUUUUAAGAAGAUCUCUUCCCACAAUAUCGUCCAAUGAACGAUCUUUAUUCUCAGCUCCUACACCAGAGAGGUUCCACUCGACUCUUCCCCAUACCUCAUCAAGAUAACGUUUGCCGUAUGGAAACGUUUUAGGGAAGUAUAUGUGUGAUUCGUUGUGAGUCUCGACGAUUGCCUCGUUAACCAAAUCAAAGAGAAGUUCUCUGUUGUUCACUACUGCUUCUUCUUGUAUCUCGAGUUCGUAGACUAGUGAUGGAUUCAGUGGUUGUUCCUCUGCGUGCCAUUUUUCGUCGUUGUCUUUGUUAUCGAGGAAGCCUGAAACUUCUAGAACCUUCUUUACAUAACAGAAGUAGGCAUCUUCAUCUUCUUCUUCAUGGUUGUAAGUUUCUAAAGAGCUUAGACCUAAACCUGUAGGACAAGCAAUCAAAGAAUUGAGACUUGCAUAUCUUUCUCUCAUCAAACAAUGAAGCUAUCUAGAACGUUCGUUCAAGAGGUUACCUUGUGAGACUAAAGUAUCGGUCUUUUCCGCAGUAUCUUCCAAAGAACUGACACUAGGAACUGAAUGUGGAUCUUGUGGAAGGAUUCUUCGGUUUGGGCUGUCUAAGUAACUUUCUUGGCUUCUCUCUUCGUGCAACUCAUAUUUUUUUUCCUUCUCUGCUCUUAUCGGAGAUUCUGAUAACAAUAAUGGUUUCUUGGAUCCAAAGUUAGUAUCUUGGUCGAGAUGUUUCCUAGGUUCCAGAUUGGAAGUAGAACUGUCUCGGGGAAGGUCGGUCAGAAAUGAACCAAGAACUUCAAGACUGGACAAAGAUGAAAUCCGUCUGAAGAAUUGUGGUAUAUUAUCUCUCGAAUCGCUCUUUCUAUCUUCAUACGAAAGUUUUAAGCUCUUCGAGCGCAGUUCACCACCUUCUCUUCUGAAACUUUGCUCCAAGAGUUGAGAGUAUCUCCCUUCAUAAUCAUCUUUCGCGACAUGAUCUGAAACCCUUUUCUUCUUCUUCCUUGUGUGAUUCCGGUCUUUGAGUGCGUUUUUGAGCAACUUCUUGAUUUCUCUGAAUCGGUUUAUAACAGUGUUAUUAAACCCGUGACCAUCAUCAGCUGAGCCACGAGAAGGAGAGACUGGUCUGUGUUCUUGAGAAGUGUUGUCUCUUGGAACAUUCAAAUUCAAAAGUGCACCGUUUUGCUUAGGAGAAUACCAGUUCUCCUUCUGCUUGUGAUCAAUUCUAGCAGGAAUUGGAGAGCGUGAGACAGGAAACGAGCCUGACUUGGGCAAAGCUCUUGGAUUAGACUUGAUCUGGACUUGAUCUUUCAUAAUCUUGACAAAAACAUCUUCUUUUCUCAAGAUUUCAAGAAAAUCCACGUACUCAGUUACUUGCUUUGUAGACAUCAUCUUCUUCAGUUUUGUAUCUGGUCUCGUUGGCGGCUUACUAUCUUCAACAACAUUAGCCAUCUUUGAAUCUUCAUCCUUAGAAUCAAGAAACGGUUCAUGUUCCUCUGUUUCACGCAUCAAGGAAUGAGUUCUUGGGGUCUUCCAACCUAUGAAAACAGAGUAAAAGAAUCAUUUAACAAAAUUAAUUAUCUUCUUUUAAACAAAACUUUUGAAAGAUAAUAAUAAAAUUACAAAAGGGGCUUACUUACAGAUUGGGCGGUUCUUAGUUCUCCAAUGGUGAAAGUCAAGCACAUGAAGCAUUCCAGCCAACCAUCCUGAUUUGUGAUUGUAUUUGCCAUGUUUUGGACUAGAAGUCUCGUUUUUCAAAUGCUUCCCCAUUUCGAAGCUAAUGAUCUGUCAAUUAAAUUACGUUUUUUUUUAGCAACGAACGGUCUGAAAGACAGAGUAAUUUACUCAACAGCGACGUAAUAAACACACACACACACAAAUAUAGUCAGACCAGAGAAGAAAGACUUGGUAACUUUUCGGAAAUCGUCAAAAUCUAACCAAACAUCAAAGAAACAAAUUAUCUUUCUUGUUCUGUUUUGAUAUAAAAAAAAAAAAACUAAGUAAAAGAGGAAUCUAAUCGGUUUUAAAAAGGUUAUGCGGUAAAAGCUGACCUGAUCAAGAAGAAGAGGAAGAAACAAGUGACUCCCUAAGCAACUGAACUGUUUGAUUCUUUACAAACGGAGAAGAACAUAAGGAACAAACAAGAAAAGCUGAAGAAGGGGAGGUGUUGAUGAUGAUGAUGAUGAUGAUGCAACGGAAGGUGUCUGGAAGAGAAGAGCAAAGGGAGGAAGACCUUUGAACCAAGGAAGGAAGAAAGUGAGACUUUUCGUUCUGCUAUGUGGUUCUACUUUACCCGCCAACUAUGGGGCUCGGUCUACUUGUAGAAAACUGUCAAAAUGUCUGUUUCAUAUGCAUAUAUAACGCUCACACGCCACGAGAUACAUGAAUAUUUUUUUGUUUGUUCUCAUUCAAACAACACAUGUAUUUUUCUAUAUUAAAUUCAAUAUCUCGUAAGAAUUUAAUUUCUAAUUAAGAAUUUAAUAAAUUAAUUUCUUUUGUUUUAUUAAUACUAUAUAUGUAUAAUAUUCUUUUAAAGACGUACAUUUGAAUGGCCUUUAUUUAUCUAUAUAUAUGCCACAUCAUGAUUCAAACAAGGUGAUAUUUAAAUAAAAAGAGCAAACGUUCUGAUCCAGAAAAUUUCAUAACGAAAGAUAUUGCGGUUAACCAAUUUAUAUGUAAAAAAAAGGAAAGGUUUCUAGAACUGCGCUGGUAAAAAGUAUGUGAACAACCCAAGUAGGAAGAGUAGUUGUUAGGCUACUUGUGUUUGUGGCAAAAUUUGUUGAUACCUGUUCUAUGGAGGAGGUAGGCCAUCUUUUUUGGCUACUUAGGUUUCAUUGUUUAAUGUUACUUCUGUCGAAUGAUUGUAUUAUCUAGUUCGUGAUAUAAACAGUACUAUGUAAGCCAGAAUUGACUUGCAAGCCAAGGUUGACCUGGAAGAUUUUAAAACCCCAAUCACGCUGCGCUGUUUACCAAGUAUUGUUAUAAGAAAAAGAAAAAAGAAAAAAAAAGACAAAAGGGAUUAGAUCAUCUUGGUUAGCAAGUGGUCAGGAUUGUAUAUGUAUAUAAAAUAGUUGCUUUUCUAUUAGUGAUUUAUUUAAGUAUGUACAUAACUCCUAUCGGAUUAAAUAGUAGUAUAAACAAAACGUAAUUAAGAAAACGAAGUCAAAGACUUUAGUUGGAAACUUGGAAUGGCGUGAUUAAGAAUAGAAAUGAUCACAACUGCCCCAACCAAAGUUAAAUGAAUAUUGCCCACCAAACUCAUAAGAAAUGAACUUAAAAAAACAUACGUAAUUGUUAAACAAACAAAAAAAAAGAACGAUCUCAGAAGUAACAAAAAAAUAAAAAGAAGAAAGAAAAGUCCAAAAAUCUUAUAAACUAUGAACGACGACGUAAGAGAGGGUGAGAGUGGUGGUGGUGGUGGUGGUGGGGGAUAUGGAAUUAUGAAAGUUGACGAAGAGAUUGAAGAAAACGAGGCGUCAGUGAUAACGUGACACGUGGUUGUCUGAAAUAGCACAUCUGAUCCUACACGAGAUCCAACGGCGAUUGCCGAAGCACAAACAAAUGAGAGAGAACUCACACUCUUUUGACUUCUUCUUCUUCUUCUUCUUCUUCUUCUUCUUCUUCUUCUUCUUCUUCUUCUUCUUCUUCUUCUUNNNNNNNNNNNNNNNNNNNNNNNNNNNNNNNNNNNNNNNNNNNNNNNNNNNNNNNNNNNNNNNNNNNNNNNNNNNNNNNNNNNNNNNNNNNNNNNNNNNNCCUCUCUCUCUCUCGCUUUUAUAUGCCCAAAUUUCCCAUUUACUUCUUUUUAACGUCACUCUUCUCUUCCCUUUUCUUCCCAUCUAUUUUUAUUUCUGUUGACAGUCACCAAUCUUUUUUUUUUUUUUUCUCUUACCGGAGAUUUUUUUAAAAAUCAGACAUAAAACGAAUAAUAUCUCUUCUAUUUUUCUUUCCUAUAUUCCCUUCUCUGAAAAUACAAUUGGUUACUAGAAAAAAUCAUUUUCUCUUUGCACAUAAGUCAACUCUCUCUCUUUCUUUCUCUCUUUCUUUUAUCACUUCUUCUCAUUCUUCUUCUUUCACCUUCUCUUUGGAUUUUCUUCCAUUGAUGAACAACAACAAAUCAAUCUCAUCUUGCGUCUUCCAUUGAAUUUGAAACUCCUAAGAGAAAAUUUGGGGAUAACAAAGUUUUCCGAUGGGUAACGGAGUAACAAAGUUGAGUAUGUGUUUCACAGGCGGAGGAGCAGGAGGAGAACGUUACCGGCAAAAAGACAUCUCCGUUCUUCUUCCGGAUCCUUUAGAUGAAGGUUUAGGUCACUCCUUCUGCUACGUCCGUCCCGACCCGACUCUAAUCUCUUCCUCAAAGGUCCAUUCGGAGGAUGAUACAACGACGACCACCUUCCGUACAAUCUCCGGCGCUUCCGUAAGCGCCAACACUGCGACUCCUCUCUCCACUUCUCUCUACGAUCCGUACGGUCACAUCGACCGCGCCGCCGCAUUCGAGAGCACCACUAUGUUUUCUUCUAUCCCUCUUCAGCCGAUCCCCAAAAGCUCCGGUCCGGUCGUUUUAGGCUCGGGUCCGAUCGAAAGAGGGUUCCUUUCAGGUCCGAUCGAGAGAGGGUUCAUGUCGGGUCCUCUUGAUCGGGCUGGGCUGUUCUCAGGCCCGCUUGACAAGCAAAACUCCGAUCAUCAGUUCCAACGUAGCUUCUCUCAUGGUUUAGCUUUACGGGUCGGGUCAAGAAAACGAUCUUUAGUUCGGAUCCUCCGCAGAGCAAUCUCCAAGACGGUUUCAAGAGGGCAAAACUCGAUCGUUGCUCCGAUCAAAUCCGUUAAAGAUUCCGACAAUUGGGGAAUCAGGUCGGAGAAAAGCCGAAACUUGCAGCACCACCACAACGAGAAUCUCACAGUGAAUAGUUUGAACUUUAGCAGCGAAGUAAGCUUAGACGACGACGUUUCGCUCGAAAGCCAGAAUCUUCAGUGGGCUCAGGGAAAAGCCGGUGAGGAUCGAGUACACGUGGUUGUAUCGGAGGAGCACGCUUGGCUCUUCGUCGGAAUUUACGACGGAUUCAACGGUCCAGAUGCGCCGGAUUAUCUUCUCUCUCAUCUUUACCCUGUGCUACACCGAGAGCUUAAAGGGCUGCUAUGGGAUGAUUCGAAUGUCGAAUCCAAAUCUCAGGAUCUAGACAGGUCUAAUGGAGAUGAAUCGUGUUCAAAUCAGGAAAAUAAUGAUUCUUGUGAGCGACGGUGGAGGUGUGAGUGGGAUCGUGAAAGUCAAGAUCUUGACCGUCAAUUAAAGGAACAGAUCAAUCGGAGAAGUGGCGGGUCGGAUCGGUUGACGAAUCAUUCAGAAGUUUUACAUGCUCUGUCACAAGCUCUGAGGAAAACAGAGGAAGCGUAUCUAGAUACUGCAGAUAAGAUGCUCGACGAAAAUCCUGAACUAGCUUUAAUGGGUUCUUGUGUUCUUGUGAUGUUAAUGAAAGGUGAAGAUAUUUAUGUGAUGAAUGUUGGUGAUAGUAGAGCUGUGCUUGGUCAGAAGUCCGAGCCAGAUUACUGGUUAGCUAAGAUUAGACAGGAUUUGGAACGGAUCAACGAAGAAACCAUGAUGAACGAUUCGGAAGGUUGCGAGGGUGAUCAAUCAUCUUUAGUCCCUAACUUAUCGGCUUGUCAGCUCACUGUUGAUCACAGCACGAAUAUAGAAGAAGUAAGUACAACAAAACAGUGGUAUCCGUUGGUUGCUCAAUGCAUCUGAAUUUUGGGCGGUUUUACUCAUUGUUAUAUUCUUGUGGGUUCUUAGGAAGUUGAGAGAAUCAGAAACGAGCACCCGGAUGAUGCUACCGCAGUGACGAAUGAACGGGUUAAAGGCUCCUUGAAGGUCACAAGAGCGUUCGGUGCCGGUUUCCUAAAGCAGGUAUGUAUAUUCAUCCGACGUAAGCUAGGUCAUGCAAUUGGUUGUUAUGGGUGAUCUCAGUCUAACGAAACUUUGGUUAUGUUAUAUCUUGCAGCCUAAAUGGAACAAUGCGCUUCUUGAGAUGUUCCAAAUUGAUUACGUAGGGAAGUCUCCAUAUAUCAACUGCUUACCGUCUCUCUACCACCACAGAUUAGGGUCCAAGGACCGGUUUCUAAUACUUUCAUCAGAUGGACUCUACCAAUACUUCACAAACGAAGAAGCGGUUUCAGAGGUUGAGCUCUUCAUCACAUUACAACCUGAAGGAGAUCCUGCUCAGCAUCUUGUGCAAGAGCUUUUGUUUAGAGCUGCUAAGAAAGCUGGUAUGCUGAAUAUUCUUACAUUCUGUCCCUGUUCGAUAAUCGAUUUUUUUAGUUUUGUCUGAACUGAUGUCGUUUAUAUUGUAGGUAUGGAUUUCCAUGAAUUGCUAGAGAUACCACAAGGUGAACGAAGACGGUACCACGAUGAUGUAUCAAUAGUAGUGAUCUCUUUAGAAGGAAGAAUGUGGAAAUCUUGUGUAUAAGAAGAUAAACAAGUCCUUAUGAGCAUACACGCAAAACAAAAUGGGUGUGUUCAUGGAGGAAGAGAUCGAUCUCUCAUCGGCUCUGCAUCAUGUAUAAUGUUGAUAAACACAGAAUAAACAAAAACAAAAAAAAAAAGUUUUGGCAACUACAUAUUUAGGAGUCUCUCUCUCGGUCUAGUGUGUGUCAUUAAAUUAGUGGUCAAAGGUUGGUUCUUCUUUGAAUGUAAGUUUCUUCUUCCAACUACUAACUGUAUGUGAAUAGAGAAGUAAAUGAAGGAAUUGAAAGAGGUUUGGUUAUUGGUAUGAGAUAAAUGAGUAACGUAGCAGCACUAGUGGUUCAAGAUAGUUAUUCACUUUCCCUAUCAUUUAAUUCACUUCCUCUCUCUGUUUUUUUGUUUUUUUUCACCCCAUCUUUUGGCCUCUCUUUGUUUUCGUGUACUAGUUUCUUCCAUUUCAGGGAACUUGGCUUUUAUUAAAUUUGGAAUGUUAUGUUUUAUGUAACUUCUUGUCUUUUAUAUUCAAACCUUUAUGUAACUUCUUGUCUUUAUGUAACACUUGCUUUUCACAAUGUUGACUUAACUUUUUUUUUUUUACCUUUGUUAGCUGUCUAUUUUUAGUUUCUACCCCUUUUGGGGUUGCCUUUUUUGACUGUCUUAGAUUUUUGACUACUUCCACAAUAUAGUAUUUUAUAACUAUUGUUUUGUUGUGAAGAAACAGUCCGUUUUAGUGGCCUUGGGUCAACAUCAACAAUCAAUCCAACGGCCAAACUGGUGUUUGUGUAUUGUACAUCUUGCAGACAAGAAGUUACAAGUAGAGAUCCACAGAGUUAAGUGUAUCUAUUGCAAGAUUUUGAUAGUAAACCAAUUUCUUUUAAAAAUCUAGAGUGCUUUGAUCAUUUAGACUGACGAAGAAUGAUGACCUGAAUAAUUUAGAUGAGAAACUCUAUCACCCUAGCCAGUGAAAGUAGUGAUGAUUUAUAAUGCAUCAAUUUACCUGAAAUAUAGGACACAAGUAAAAGGAGCCAGCACAGCUGGUUCUUCUGAAACAUGUAACUGCUUCAAUUUCCUUACAAGAGACAUUGUUAGAUCUGUUUGGUUCACAGUACAGUAACAGACGUUUUGCAAGCUGUUGCCAAAAAGUCUCCAGAUUUAAUAUCAAGAUUUGUGAAUGAAUGUGAAGCAAGCAGAGUUUGCAUUUACCCAACUUGGAUUAUUGGGCUCAACUGGGGCUUUUAUCAUUAUGGGAUCGUUUAAGCCCAAUUAGUUUCAUAUUCGUUUCGUUAGUGAAUCUGAAAUAAUUAGGCCGAGUAUGUCCUUAAUCAAUUUCCACAAUGAUGACAAUAGAAACAGUGACAUUUCACAUCAUAAACUUGACACCUUGGUCGUAUAUGAUCUGCAACUUCACUGUGAUAGAAUAAUAUUGGUUGACUAUGAGAUCCUAGAUUUUCGGUAUAUUUAAGCUAUUAUUAACUUGUCUCUGAACAUCGUCCGACUCUCAAAACAAAGUUGAUAUAUAUAUAUCCUUGUAGUUGCUUACAUGAUUCUUCCACACCUUUUUUUACUAUAUUUUAGCAUUCUUUUACUCAUGCAAAAAGACUCGUAAGUAAGAAAAUAGAAAUUUCUUAUUAAAAAAGUGCAGUCAAAAAAGUAUAUUUCAAAUGAUUUUUUACACUAUCGUUAAAAAAGUGGGAGUAAACACACAAAAGCUAGGGGUAAGGACAAAAGUUAUUUCAAAUCUCUCUGUGUCUGCAUUGUUUUCCGUGUCAAUCUUUACUUUAACGUUUUCUUCAUUAUAUUCUCUCCACCUUUUUUUUUCUUUCCUAUAACGUAUUAUUGUUAUGUGGUAUCAUUGGAAAAUUAUUGUUUUCAUUCAAAAAUUAUUGUUUUCAUUCAAAAAUUAUUGUUUCCAUUGCAAAUAACCAAAUAAAUUUGUUAAACUGCGCAUAAUCAAUCAUUCAGAGUCUAAUGUGUAACUAAGUCGGGGACGAGUAUCAAAUAGGUUUAAUUUUGAUCACUCAGUUAGUACUUAGUAGAGUCUAAUGUGUAUAGUAAAUAAACUAUAUAUGCAGCAACCAAAGCUGGUGCAACAAAAAUAGUUGACAGUUUAAUCUGUUAAAUAGAUUUGUUUUAGGUUGAUUACGAAGGAAUUUAUAUAAACGUUCAUUAAUUAUCAUGGAUAUCUGACUGACUAGUACUAUAUAUACUACUUGCUUAAACAGUUAUAAGAAAAGAGUGUACGUGAAUAUGCUUUAAUCCAUGCAGAAAAGUUUAAUAUUGAUUUAAUAAUAUCUACGUGUAGACAAAUACAUGUUUGCAUAUGUAAAUAAGGAAUAUAUAUACAUAUAUAUAUAUAUAUAUAUAUAUGUAUAAAAGGAUCAUGCAGUCACACAAACACUCUGACACACAGAUUCGUAAGCUGACUGUAAAGGAAAAAGAAGCUCCUAAAAAUAUGUGAAAAUUUAGUAUUUUGGGAGAUUUAAAACGUAGUAUCCAGAGAGACACGGAAUUAUAUGUUCAAGUUCUCCUUAAUUAGUCAGUGAAGACACUUUUACUUUAUGAUUUAUCCUUAGCUUUGAUAUAUGAUGAUCAGAAGAACAAUCAAUAAACGAUAAAAUCAUUAGUAGUGUUCACCGGUCGAUAUGGUUAGGGGAACAUAUGAUAUGAGCCAUAUAUAAGUUUAAAUUUGAACGGAAACUGAGUUAAAAGCUUAGAAUAAGCUGGAAAAUAUGAUAUAUAUGUUCGAUGAAAUUCAAAUUAAAAAGUAUACAAAUUGGACUGUUACACACAAGUAUUCGAGAUAUAGCUAGCAACUUCAAAAUCAGAUCAACCAUGAAAUCACGCAAUACAAACAAAUUAUAAUGACACACGGGAUUAUAUGAAUAUAAGUAUCGAUUUUAAGUUGUAAAACCACAAAUUGCUAGUUAAGAUACCUUUUAGUUUUGUUCUCGACGAUCAUCGUCCCCAACACACUGGCUGCAUGCAUUUAGUCCUGACCGUCCGUAGUAGUUUAAGUCAAUCUCCACGUCGUAACAUACACUAGUGAUCCGACAAAAUCUCAUAAGAGUUCAUUAGAAGGACCCGAGAAAUCCGAACUGGGCCAAAAGUACUGAUUUGUUUGAUUCCCCGGAGACGUCAAGCCGGAGGCCGGUCUAGAUAAGUUAGCCAGCUGAUUUGGUUGUUCUUCCAUCUUCACCGGAGGCGUCUGGUAAGCCCUAGAAUCAACCAUAGAAGUAGAGGAACAAGAUAUCCCGACGUUGUUUCCGAUAUUACCCUCGUUCGGGAAAGGGUAUAACCCCGUUGUUGGAUCGAAGAGGGUGAAGUGACUCAGUGAUCCGACAGAUGUCAUUAGGUUGUUUUCGUUGUUGUUGUUGUUGUCAUGAAUGUUUCCAGUAAUCUGACCUGAAGUAUUUCGUCCAUUUCCGACAUGAAGAAACCCUAGAUCAUUCAUCAAACUCGAACCGAUCUGGUGAGCUUGGUUGUUGCCAUUAGUAGCUGCUAAGUUCAAACCAAUACCUCCGAGGUGAGUGAGGUUGUAAAGUGUUGGUGAAAACGGGAACUGAUGAUUUGUCCUUAGCUGUCCUGAGCUUGGACUUGGAGCGUUGACCCCGGAAGACUGUUUGGACGACGACGAAGAAGAUUUUGAAUUUCCAUUUUUGCCCUUCUUGUUAUUCUUACGGCAGCCUCCACCGACAGGGACGUUCCUCAGAGCGCCGCCUUUUGUCCAGUAGCGACGGCAACCUUUGCAGAAGUGACGAGGCUGAGUGAGGUUAUAGUUGUUGUAGUAACAGAACUUAGUGUUGCUGGAGUCACAUCGAGGACACUUUAAGGGUCCGUCAGGCGGAGGUAUUUUGGCCUGCCUCGCUCUCUCCGCCAUCGAUCCACCCAUCCUUGCCGGAAGGCCAGCAGAGGCAGCGACAUGGUGGUGGUUAGGGUUAGGGUUUGCUUGGAGAGGUGGAAGUUGGUGAGAGAGUAGUCCGUGGCCACCAACUAUACUUCCAUUUUCGUGAAGCUGGUGCUGAUGAUGAUGAUUCGAAUUCGUAGGCUGAAAAACCAAAAAAAGAAAAAGUAAUCAAAAUAAAAGAAGGAACCAAGAAACCGAUCAAUAUUCAAUAGUAGUACUAGUGUAAUAUAUAUAGAAAUAUAAAAACGUAUUAAUAAAGGAAGAAAUACCAUAUAUAUAGAUGUUGGAAAUUUAAAGAAAGCUGAUAAGAAAAGAAGACGAGAAUAGGAAUAUCUUUUGGGAAAUGAAUCAAAAUUAUUACAUACAAAGGAGAAAAACGAAUCAAAACAACAAAGAAGAAUUUUAAGAGAGAAAUUACAAAAAGAGAAGAAAGAGAGAAGAGAACAUUUAGUAAUGGGAAGAUCAAAGAAGAAGUGAACCUGCGACCAAUUAGAUGAGAAAGCCAUAUUGUUCUUCUAACUUUCUUUAAUAAAGUUUGAUGGAUCUUUAGGGGAAAGAAAGAACUCACUCCAAGGCAAAAAAAAUAACUUAGGUGGGGGAAUCAAACCAAAAUAAAGGAAAGGCAAAACGAAAGAGAGGAAGCAAGACGACCAAAGAGCAAUGCGAAGAGAGCACAAAAUCAGAAAGGAAAGUGAGAAGAGAGAAGAGAGAAGAGAACAAAGACAAAUUAAAGGCAAGAAAAUGCUUUCUUUCUUUUUUUUUAAACGAAGAAAAAGAAAAGGAGAGUUUUAAUUAAUUUCGGUUCUUUUAUAUGCUUUCUAUAUUAAUUCCACUCCCAUCUUCGCUCCUCAUGGUGUAUACGCGUCUCUAAUCUAUACUUCAUUUUUUGUGUUAUUUUUUUAUAUUUCUGAUGAUUCCCAUUUUUAGGGUUUGAGUGGGGACGUUUCUUCGUCUAUAAGGUUCCUUGUCUCUUAGGCGUCUAUGGAAUAAUCUAUAUAUAUAGACUAAGGAAACGUUCUACGAAACUGUACCGAAGUUGUAUAAAACUUGACCAUCAUAUCUCUCUAUAAAUUUCGGGGCAAAUUAAGUUAGGAAAAUACUUUAUCAUAUUCUACAUUAAUUAUUCUUUAUAACGUAGAUGGCAAGCCCCAUAUGCCAUGUAUAAAGCAUAUCAUCAUCAUACCCUAUUACACUUUUUGGUGGGAUCUUGUCUAUUAUGCAAUGGUCUAAAUUAACAUUCUGUAGCAUAAAUAAGUGUAAAAGCUAUCUAAAUAACAUGUGUUGUUUUACAAAUAGACAAAUAACAUUUAUUUCCUGUAAAAAUUGCUUCUUCCUCCUCAUAUAUAUAUAGUAUCCUACUUUUUUUGCAGCGGAGUAAUACAUACAAACAAAAUUAACUAUUGACUCAUAUAUAUAUUUCUAAUAACAGUAACUAUGGUACUAUAUUUUAUGAGAACAUGUACAACCCCUAACAAUAUAGUGAUCAUGGCAAACAGACGGAAACAUCUUAUGGUAAACAAAGUUAACAUGUAAAAGUAAAAUAUCCGAAGAAUUCCUAAUCAACAUCCUUAACUAAUCAAAAUUUGGCCGUCAGAUCGAAUAGCAUAUCAUAUCAUAUAGAUGAGUCUCUAUAACUCGCAAAAAAAAAAAAAAAAAUUAAUAAAAAACAAAAAAACAGGUUUGGUAGUUCUAGCUGUGAACCAAAGGAUCUUAAUUCACACAUGAGAAGUAAGAGCGUUUUUUAAUAUAACUAAUCAUGAAUGCAUAGUUAAUAUUAAGACUACACACAUUCAUUACAAAAUUAUGACAAAUCACACUAAAAGAAUGGAUGGAAAUACUAGAAGAAAAUCCAACAUGAUGAUGCGGUCUUAAUUCUUCUAGUAGAUAAUGAACUUUGGUCCAAAAUAUAUUAGGUCACAAAACGUACUACUACUUGUUAAAAAGAGAUAUCCAUUUUGCAGUUUGUGUCUACAAUUUUUUUUCCAACUUUAUUACUCUUAUCGCUUCAUUGAUCACUCGUUUCGUUUUAUAAAUUGCUAAACUUCCUUUUCAGAAAAGGACCGGCAAAGAUAGCCUACUUGCCACAUUAUUAUAACACACUGCUUCGAGUGGGGCAAAAACUCUCCACCGCGAAUAUAGUCUCAAUAAAACGAAAAACCAAAAAAAAAAAAAAGGACGUAAUUGAUCAUGCAUGAACCCAUCACCAAUACCUUUUCAUUAUGCCAAAACCAUCAUGUACACUCUUAUCGUUCUUCUUCUUCUUCUCCCUUUCGCCCUUUAGAUUUGGAUAAAAUCCUCAUUUGAGAUAUUUUUCAGGCUUUUUCCUCGGAAUUUGUGAUUCACGUCACCCUAAAUGUUGAUAUCACCACUGACCAAUUUUUACGUAUACUAAUAAUUAAAGACUAUAUAUACGCCAUCAGUAUAAUAAAAAGAACUGCUGGUUCUAAGAUAAUUUUCUCUAAUUAAAAAUUACCUAAAAAGUUCAGUUAUCAGCUUCAUAUUCAGUUCCAAAGCAUAUACAACUAGUCAUGUACAUAUGCUUACAUUUGCACGUAAUAGGAAUAUGAAUUGUAUCCAAAAAAGGUAACUUAUACGUAACGUAUAGUAACGAAAGGGUUCUUGAACGAUCCAUCACUUUUGUAGAGCCUUUUUGAUAUUGAUGCUACAGCCCACACAAUUGUAAGUCACGUAUGCCGCUAACGCCAGCACCCUAUUGCAAAGUGCUUCCAUCGCUUACAAAAAAGAUUCUUCACUUUAUGUUAAACAUACAGAAAAAAUAUUUACUCUUUCACAUUAUAAUCUGUAUAUAUAUACCCUUCUCAUAUAAAUUACCCAAGAACAAUGACUCUUUCUUUUUUUGUACUUCUACAAUUAAAAAUGACUCUUAAUUAGGGUUUUAGGUAGAGUAUAUGUGUCUUGAUAACUAAAUGAUUUUAUUUAAUGAAGAUGAAGAGAAAAAAUGGGUAAUAAUAGAGGAAAAAAACGUGGAAGAAAUGAUAAGGACAGGAAAGAAAAGUAAAGAACAAUGGUGGUGUGGGAAUCUGAUUCCUUGUCAAUUAAUUGGGCCCCCCCCCCCCCCCCUCUCCCUUCAGCUUUUUCCCUAUUUAUAAGCCUUUUUAUUUUUAUAUCUCUGUCCUAAAAGCUUACUACUCCCUUCUUCUUAAUCUCUUUACCUGUACAUGUCCAUAUACACGAACAAGAGCUUUAGACUAUUUCCAACAACAUAUAGUGAUGAUGCAUGGUUGUUAAUCUUGUAACGAUAUUUACUAGAAUCCAACACUCUUGUUGUUUUAGUUUGGUCUAAUUAAUUAAUAAGCCUUUAUGCAUCAAUCUUAUAUAUAUCUUUAUGAACGUACCAACAAAACACAUAAACAUCAAAAGAACCGCAUAAAGUUAAAGUGAUCAUGUUUUCUUGAUAAAUUAUAUAUCUGAAUGUCGAAAUAUACGAAGACUAAUGGACUCUUAAUAGUCAUUGUCAUUUUGGGACUUGCCAUAGUAUUAUUAAUUAGUUGAUGAUACAGUAUUAAUUCCAGUUUUGAAACCCGAUUUUGCUCACCUUAACAUAGGGACUGAUGAUGAUCUGCAGAUAAAGAGAAGCAAGUAGCGAAAGACAAUAUCUAUGAGUAGCAGAUAUAGUGCCAAGGAUUAUUUUUGUAUUUUAGUUCCUUCUGAUUUUGGGAUCAAUCUAUGUCACAGUUUUGAGCUUAGAAAACUUCAACUAUAUAUUUAUAUACACUUCAGAAAAAUACCACUUUAAUGGUGAAAAACUUAACCACUCCCAGGAAUGUCACUUAUGAUUUGGAAUUUAACUAUGCAAGAGUCCAGUCUUCUCCUCAGCAUCAGCGAGCGAGUUUACGGAAGCAGUACAAUGCCCACUACUGGAGAAGCUAAGCGAUCUGCUCAGCUCGUUUUGCCAAAAAUGGUUCCUCAAGGCUUUAAGCUUUGGGUUGACCGUUGAGAAGCUCGGAUCCGACAGCAGCUCUUGCAAUGCUGUCUUUCCCUCUAAGAGACUCACCACCUGCGACAUCGUAGGCCUUAGCGUCGGUGAAGCGUUAGUGCACAUCAAUGCCACGUUCAACAUCAACAUGGCUUCCUCUUCUAAGUAAUCAUUUAACGUCGGAUCAACUAGCUGUAGUAAGGAUCCUCGCUCUUGCAGAACAUAGGCCUACAUGUGUUUGAUGCAAAACAUUUUAAGCCUACAUGUACUUUGGUUUAUUAUAUAACUGGAUUACACUUAUUAAGUGGAUGAAAGGGAUGAGACUGUUUACCCAAUCAAGAAGGUAGACGAAGUCCUCGCUAGGCCUAAAGUUUGUAUUACUCUUUCCACUUACAAUUUCUAGUGCAACGAUGCCAAAGCUAUAAACAUCUGCUUUUUCUGUCAAGUAUCCCCGCAUCGCGUAUUCGGGAGCCAUAUAACCUCUGCGGUGCAGAUGAAAAAUCAAACUUCUGAUAUUGUAUUCUUAAAUUUUCCCUGCUUGAGCUUAUGAGUAAAAAAAGCCUUACAUAGUUCCAGCGAUACGGGUGCUGAUGUGUGUGUUUCCAUCAUCAUUCAGCUUUGCCAAACCAAAGUCAGAGAUUUUAGCGUUGAGAUCCUUAUCAAGUAACACGUUGCUUGCCUUUAUAUCUCUGUGUACAAUCUUUAUCCUAGAUUCUUCAUGGAGAAAUGCCAGUCCUUUAGCUAUCCCCAAACAAAUCUUCUUCCUUGUUGACCAGUCUAGCUUCAGUCUAGAACUCUCAUCCUUUCCUACAAAGAAGAUCACCCACACAGAUUUAGAGCAGUGAUUCCACUGGAUAAAAUGUUCAUAUACUUCCGCAGUCUCCAAUUCAAAAGAAGAACAUACCAAAUAACGCACGAGAUAAACAAUUGUUCUCCAAAUACUCAUAUACCAAUAUCAAUUGGUUUCCUUCAACACAACAUCCAUAUAGCUUAACGAGAUUUGGAUGCUGUAGGGCUGAGAUCAUUCCUAUUUCAUUUACAAACUCGCGAUUUCCCUGCCUCGAUUUUGCAGAUAGUUGUUUUACUGCAAUCAAUUUUCCCUCAGGUAAUUCACCCUGCAACAAGAGGAGGCACCACCUUCUUAAUAUACCUUCCAAAAUCUACACAUCUUCUAGUUUAACUGAAAACGAUUUCAUCUAGAGCUAAGAAUGUUGAAGAAUACAAGUGAAUUACCUUGUAAACAGAGCCAAAUCCACCUUCACCAAUCUUUUUUGUUACGUCAAAAUUAUCAGUGGCUGCUUUUAUCUGUCGUAGAGUAAAAGUCCCAGUCUGAAGAUCUAAACCCCUUAGUUCUGUUUACCCAUAGAAAAAAUGACAUUAAAGCGUCAGGAUACAUAAAAAGCACAUAAUAAUAUGCAUACGUAGAUUCAAGAAACAUCAUAAGAAAACUAAAGCUUAUACCUUUGUCAAUAGCAUUUUUAUCAUGCCUCUUCUUCCAGAGUACGCCUACUAUGAUAAACAAAAGAAGUGUUGCUGCAGCAACUGGUAGCCCUACUUUUAUUAUGAUAGCCUUAACGUCAUAAUAUACCGGAGGUUUGAAAUCUGCCAGAAGCAAAAACCUGUCAUCUAUCUGCCAAUGAGAUUCCAUGAAUUAUAUAAAGGUGCAAUCAGAAAAACUUACUAGGUUCCACUGAUAUAGCUGAGAUCAUAGGACCAUAUACGCCUCUGAUUGGAAUGCCUGUUGUCCCUUUGCCUGCCCAUCGCAAACCGAUCUUCAGAGUAUGGUCCGUUACAUUUACCAAAAACGAUUUAGUGACUGGCUUGCCUGAUCCUCGAGCUGCUUCUUGAAUGUUGAAGUUUUUCAUCACUAAUUGAUCCUGUGAGCAGAUAAACAAGCAAGAAUACAAUAUCUUAUGAUUAGGGCAUGGACCUGGAAACCUCCUAUUUGCCAAUAGAAAUGUUGGCCUAAAAGCAAACAUGAGAUACAUUUUUCGACACAGUAAGUAAAAGAAUAUUGACUCCAAAGACGUACCUGAACAUAAAUAUCAAACAAACGUUUGCCGAGACUGUAUAGUGUAUUAUCAUCGGUAAAGAUAAUCUCAGCAAAGUGGAGAUUCACAGUGUAGUUCCCAUUUCCAAGACAGAGUCCGUAGUAGGUUAACGAUAAAGGAGAGACUCGAGCUGUCCUAUAAAGUCCAAAGCUGAGAGAGGAAGAGUUAACGGAUAAUCUGGAUGUGUUCUGCACAGUAUAAUCAUCAGCAUCGUCAUCAUUGUCCAUGAAGUUCCCAGUGCUGCUCAACGCCCAGUGCUUGUCAGCGCUGGUGAAGAACAUAGAAGCACCUUUGGGCUCGUCAUCAGCCUGAUAUAUUUUUCCUUUAUCCACUUUUACUUCACCUCCUCCACAAUUUAUGUACAAUUUAUAUAUAUCUACAAGGAAAUUUCAUUUUUAAAUCAACAUCCUAAGGUUUUUCUCCACAUUUUCUUAAACUAUUAAUAGCUAAAUACCAGAAUAAGAUGAACACAACAAAAGUGAUAUUGUUGCUUACGAUCUUUCUUAGGAUGAACACAAGGGAUGCGCUGAAGAAAACAGGUUGAACCCUUCUGUCUGCAACAUCAAAGUCACAGGGAAAAUACAGACAUUUUUGGGUUCAUUUCACUAAUCAUAACUUAAAGUACAAAUAUGUAAGAGACCACUACAAAGUCAAGAGCAUCAAUAAGUUUUCUAAGAAACAUUUAUAUACAGAGAGAUGGUUUCUUACGAUUUGUUCCUAGUGGCGAAGCUUUCCACCAAAUUCCUGGAAAAUAGCAGCACUGUUGUUUCAGUGAAGGUAUGAACAAGAUGUUCUGAAUAUAAGAGUACAUUUAAUGAACUUACGAAGUAACUCGGUUGCAUUCACCAUUAUUGGGAAUUGAACUUUCAUCAGUGAAGUUAUUAUAAGAAACAUCUCUGCACAUCAAGAAGAACAAAUACAGUUUAUUAAAUCUGUUAAAGUAUGUACUUGGAAAGUUAAGAGCGACAUGUAUUCAUACACGUUUUUGUUUAUUUCGACAAAGUACUUUGGAACACCUCCUGUCAACUUGUUUCCUGUCAAAUAACUGAUAGAGAAAAUUUAGAACAACUUUCAUGAUUAGAAAAUAUAUUCUGUAACUAAGUUCAUAUUCUCCUAGUGACGUACUUACAUGAAAUCGGCUUUCUUCAUAUUUUCAAACGAUGAAGGAAUCUCACCACUUAGGAGAUUAAAACUGAGGUCACUACAUAGUAAGCAUAAUCAAGAUACAGAGUUCAUUACAUGGAAACAUAAAUCAUCUGAAGACUCUUCUUUCCUCAAUGUAUAUUCAUGUCUUACAGUGUUUUGAGCUUAUCCAUAUCCCCAAUAUAUUUUGGAAUUGGGCCAUUUAAAUUGCAUCUUCUCAGUAUCCUGUAUUUGAGAUAGAUUAAACACGUUUUAUAGCAAACCUCUAUCGCAAACACAACAUACAGAUUGUAUAUUAACUCACAGCGACUUGAUAGACUUCAAAUUACUCAAUGGAGGGAAGGAAGACGGUUUGCCUCCUAAGUCACUAAUCCUCCUAUCAAUCACAACCCACCAAAGAAAAACUAUGUCGAUAAAUAAUCUUGUAAGGAAACGAAUUUAGAAAAGUAGUAGUUUUUCAAUGGCGUACAGAUCACUUAAGCUAGUCAAUGUAGAAAUACUGGAAGGUAUUGGACCAUCCAAACCGCAACCAUGCAUCUGCCUGCAAAAACAACUUCUUUGGUUGGUAUGCCUUUCUUGUGGACAAGCAAGCUCUUAUGGAGAAAGAAUUAAUCUUACAGUUUCACUAUUCUUGUCCAAUUGCCGAUGAAAUUUGGUACUGGUCCAGUGAAAUUAUUAUCACUUAGCCUCCUAUUACCACCCACAAAUACAUAUCAUUAGAAGUAUUAAAGAAAUUAUCCAACAGAGACUAGAUUUUAUGUUUGUCAUAUCAACAAUGUAAGACUAAAAAUUCUCUUACAUAUCAGUAAUGUUCUUGAGCAAUCCAAGUUUUUCAGUCAAUGGACCAGUGAAAGCAUUUGAAGGAAGAUGACUGAGGCAAAAACAGAGAGGAUCAUAAGUUCAAUAAGAAGCCAACAGACUUAAGAUGUCAAGUAAUGAGUGACAAGAAAUCACGGGUUUGUUUAAUGUAUAUGUAAAAGAUAAUAACUACAGAUAACUACACGAAGCAAGAAAACAACAAGAAUGAUUUAAGAUAAAGAUGGAAAAAAGAAACUUACAGUUUCUCCAAAUGAGUCAACUUGGCAAUCUCAGGAGGGAUUGGUCCUGAAAACUGAUUUCCUUCUAGGCUCCUGCGUAGUUUCAAAUGAUGACAAAACUGGAGACAUUCAUUUACAUUUCUAGAAAACACUAUAAUGCAAACAGAACUAACUUAGAAAAAAUUGUGAUAGGUUCAGUCCAGGCUCUAAUUAGUACAAUUCAUGAGCCAGAAAAAAGUGUAGAGAUGUAACACAACAAUGACAUACAGGUUCCUGAGAGUAGUAAGGCGGGUUAGGACUUUUGGAAACGGACCAGACAAUCGGUUCCCCAUGAAAGAUCUGAGUAGUGUACAUCAAAAACACACAAAGCCACAACAUUUAUUUAAAACAAAAAUUGAUUGUUUUCGACUUGUUACAGAAAACAGAAGCAAAUUAGAGGUUACUUACAAAUCUUCCAAGCGCAUAGAAGCCCAUUCCUUUGGAAUGGUACCAGUCAGAGAGUUACGGCUAAGGUCCCUGCACCCAAAUUAUUAUAUGCGACAAGAACCAAUUUUUAUAGUUAGAAACUAUGAGAAAGUAUGAAAAGCUUGAGUCUUCGUUUGUUUGUUUGCUUGAUUGAUCACUUACAAAACUUUGAGGUGACGAAGCUUAGAGAACUCUGGAGGUACAAUGCCUGAUAAAUUCUGGGACUUGAGAGCUCUAGCACAAUAAUAAACCGGAUAUAAUAGGAUUAAACUCAAAACAGACAGAUAACCGAUUUAAACCGGUCUAAGGUUUAACCAGUCAACCAUUUGACUUUCUUUUUCUUUGAAUUGUUUUGGACAUCAAAAUCAACGAUUUGACUUUCUUCUUCUUCUAAAAAAAUCAGUAAACCUUAAGAAAACUGACAAUUUAUAUAUGUAUCAAAGAGUCUUGUUUUGAAGUAAAAGUUAGAUAAACAAAAUUUGAAAAAAUUAUAAAAACAUAAAAUUAGAAGAAGAAAGAACGAAAAUACUAAACAUAUUGUUUGAAUUAGUUCCUCGUCGACAAAAAAAAAUAAAAAUUGUUUGAAUUAGUUCCUUUUUAAGUAUCACAUAUAUAUUCAUAGUGUUAAUAUUAGCGAUAUGAAAGUAAACGCGUUAUUUCUUUUGAAUCGUAUAUAUUCGGUCAACAGGUCAACGACCAGCUGCCAUGUCCAGCCUGGCAUAAAUAAACUUGUCGCCACAAAGAGACAAAUCAAACCAGAAGCUUUUUUUUAAUAUUUAUCUUACUUCACUAAAUCAUUGUAGCUCUCCUAAUUAUCCUAAAAACUUUAGUUUGUAAGAUGGUAAAAAUAAUACAGUCGAAUAGUUGUACUUUACUACUAUAUACUACUAGUAAAAAAUGGAAUUCGAUCUAUUUUAAAAAUAUAAUUCGAAAAAUUCUAAAAAUAUAUAGUAUAGUUUUAUCAUUUGAAUAUUACUAACAAAAUAGGGUAUUGUACUUAUAGAUGUAUGGUUAGUGGUUGUCAUUAAAGUGGGAGACGAGUUGCGCAGUUAAUAUGAAAAGACAAAGUAAAUCAAAUCGUACAACCUAACCUCACCAAGGAAUUUAGUGGUUUCCCCUCAUAGUCAGUCACCGUAAACUAGCCACUACUCUGUAACUUAGCUAAAAGUAAAUCCUAAAUAUUCCAUUGGAACUAAACUGUCUCAAAAACUUGACGGCGAAAUCCCAAUAUACAUUAUUGACUUGGCACCGACACGGAGUAUUGGACUAAAGAUAGUUUUGUAUUUUCUAAAAAUGGGUAAAAUUGAAAAAAGGAGGAUAAGAAAGGCAAAGGAUAGAGUAAGAAGGAGAGAAGAAGAAGCUGAGACUUACAUUCGAAUGACGUGGCAGGAUGAGUUUGGAGGAGGAUAAGAGCAAUCGCAAGUGAUAUUACUCUCGAACUCUUUGGUUGUGAAACUUGUGUCAACCCAAUUGCCUUCACCACUGCAUGGAUCUUUGUUGAAGUUCCAAUCUUUCUUCCCUAUCUUCUUCCCUAUCUCCUUUAGUGCUCUCACUUUCCAAUUUCCAAUACCAUAAAUAAAUAAACAACCAUCAAUAUAUAUCAUCAAAGUAUAAGAAAUCGCUUUCUGAAUCCAAAAUUUAUCAACAAAGAAACACCCUUCUGAAGAUGCAUACACAUCUUCAGCCUAGUUUGGUUUAGUUUCGUAUUUGGAAAACAAACAAGAAAGUGGUUUUAGGGAGUAGUUAGUACUUAUAAGUACCUUCAGCCUCGUGGAGUUUGGUGUUGUCGGAAGAUCCAAUACGGCCAUGGAGAAUCAAAGUGAAGAGGACGAUGAUGAAAUAUAUCCGAUGUAAAGGAAUCAUCUUUUUCUAUACAAAUGUUUUUCAAAUAAAAUAUCGUAUCACACUUGUCUGAUAAAAAAAGUAGGCUUAUUAGAGGAUAUAGAGGUCGAGAGAGAGAGAGAGAGGGAGAAUAGGAAGUAAUGGUGACGAGCUUAUGGACCACUUUUAGUCUUCGAAGAUUUAAUAAGGUUUGCUGUCCUUUGUGAUGUUAUUUUAUUACAUCAACCAAUAUUCAUUGGUCUUCAGCCCAUGCUACUGUGUGUGUGUGUCUGUGCAUACAUACAUGUUUGUUUAUGUUCAUAAUACUUGGAUCCAGUAAAUACUUUAACAUAUGCUUUUCGUAAAAUUCGACAGAGACCCUUCCAAGCGAUUUCGAGAUUAGUCUACGGUUGAGAUUAGUCUUUUUUUUCCUUUAUGUGGUUGUUUAAAAAGAAAUAAAUAGUAACGCUUGUAUUUAAGACAUGACGUUGUCGACCAGAAAAAAAAAAAAAAAAAAGACAUGAGGUUCAAAUGUUUAAAAUAUGUUUGAAGUUACUAUUUAUGUUUUAAUAGUUAUUUUAAUAAUUUUCUAAAUUAGUUUUUAAAAUAAGUGUAGCAGCUGCUAAUUGGUGUAGGCAGCAAAUAUUGAAAAGUCAUAUACUAUACGUGGAGUAUCUUUCUCCUAAAUCUAUACUAGUAUUAAAAUAUUCAGAGGAUAAUUAACAAGUCUUAUCAAUUAUUGCAAAAAAAAAAAAACAAAAACCAGUCCAAUUUGAUUUUCAAAGACCAAAUACGACAUACAGUAUCUAUUUACUUUACUGGUUUAGCUUUUACGAAAACCAAAGUAGGCUCACAAAACAUACGAGAUUACGACUAUACAACCAACCAAAAAAAGAAAAAGUAAAAGGAACGUUUUAUUAUUUUCUGUUUGUUAUUUUAUUGAAUAUUAGAAUCGUCGAAUAAUUAAGAUGUACAAGUAAUAGAAAACCCAGAUGAUAAUAUUGUUUUAUAUGGUUUAGAACAAUAAUACGCUAGAGUGUCGUCCAGUAUCCAUCUCUAGAGAUCUAUAGCUAAAUUAUUUAACUUCCCUUAAUCUAAUUCGCUGGUUAAUUGGGUUCAACUAAAUCAUUUCCACUUAGUGUAACGAUGCUAACAAUUAAAAAGGGUAUACUAGGCUGGGGAGUGGCGACGUUGGGCACAUUGUUUUUUAUUUUAUUUUUUACUUUUACCGUUUUGCUUCAUGCAUGUCGAAUUUCCAUUAACCAGAAAAGAAAAAGAGUAGUACGAAAGUAUCUUGUAUUAUUCGUAUGCAUAGAUUAUAUAUAAUAUAUAUAUCUUGUACUAUAUAGUUAAUGAUCCGUGAUCGAGUCUUUGUUUUGUAAUUCACUUAACGUGGCUUCCGAUCCGUACAACGAUGCCGUCGAUGUCUCGCACGUAUCCGACCUUCUGACCCCAUUCUUUGUUUUCCGGCUCGCUCACUGCCACCGCACCGUUCUCCACUGCUCUCUGCACCACAUACGCACCAUCCCUCUCACUCGUGUAUCAAUAUUAAAGAGGUUGACAGAUGAUAUAUACAUCUCGAGAAAGACAGAAUUAUAUAUAUGAGUUUACCUUGAAAGCAGCAUCAACAUCAGGGUAACAGAAGCAAACUUCGAUGGGUGCUCUUUCGCGGGCUGAUUGCGUAGACUGAACCUUCCCGGUUAGGUCGUCAGUCUCAUGCUGGUGAAGCGGUGUGAACGCUAUCGUCGUUUGCCCGCUCUCUAGCUCUCCCCACCUGUAUUCGUAUAAGUUUAUUUCUUCCAUCGUAUAUAAACCAUAUUUAACUCCCCAAGCGAAAAGACAAGACCAUUAAUACUAAACUAUAUCUAUGAAAUAUCCACAUAAUUUCUAUAUGUUUCGCUAUAUCUGGCAGCCUUUAAGCAAUUGCUUAGCAAGCGGAUCAGACCUGAUAAUACAGGGCAUAUCGCACCAAUGAAAUCCCUAACUUCGAAAGUUUUGGUUUCUUGACCAUAUAUGCAUCUAUGAUCUGCAGAUCAAUGUAUUUACAUAUUCUACCAAUCUAAAUAAAAUCUUAAGAAAAUAGGAAAAACUCUUAAAAUGUAAAGAACCUGUGAGAAUCAUCAAGACGACGGACGUUGUGACCAAAGGCUCUUGAGUAGAAUUCGACGGAUUUAGCGACAUCCUUAACGUACACAACAGUGUAAGCAAACGCCGGUCUCAUCACAUUUGCAGCCAUUUUUUUUCUCUCUCAGUGUUAUGAUUUUGAUAUCGAGUCGAUUCUAUCCGAUCCGAUCCAAUUCACAAGACUCUCUCUUUUGCAAUACAUAGGAUCUCUCUUUACUGUGAGCUGAACACGUGGUCGGCUGCAUGGAGGUUCGUGUGUACGUACGUAGUGUACUUGUUGCCACGUGAGCUUUUGUUUACUACUUUUCAAUUGGGCCUUAUAAUUUAUUACAAAUAAUGAGUCUUUCAGAUGGUUAUCUGUUAUUUAUGUUUGGGCCUUUCGGGCUUUUUAGUUGUUGGAUAAACAAACUUUAAAGUUAGAGAGAAUGAGAGGAAACGUCGAAAGCUACAAACAUCUACGACCGUCGAAUUUUAAGAAUCAACGAUGCAUAUUAGUCCUGGAGCUUUCACGCGGAUCGCAAUCAUGGUCCGUUGAAAGGUGACACAUAUCGUACGGCCACGGAUUAUUCUUUGGGUAUGCGUCUCAUUUAUAAAUGACUCAAUUCUCAUUGCGAGUUGAAAUAACAAACAUUUCUUUUCAAGAGGUUUCACAGAGCUUUCGAUCAAUCAUCAGGUAGGUUAUACAUUACUUACAUCUCUGACUUUGCUCAUCUCAAUUCCAGUAUUGGGUUUUGGCAUUUUGUUUGCAUUUUAGAAGAAAUCAGUUCUUCGAUUGUAAUUUGGAUUGAUUGAUCUGGAAAUCUAGGGUUUCUGUUCUUACUAAUUGAAAAAUUUUCCGGUUUGUUAUUGUUCAGAGAUCUGAUUGGAAUUUUGAAGAAGUGAAGAGAUGUCGGGAAGAGGAAAGGGAGGGAAAGGAUUGGGAAAGGGAGGAGCGAAGAGGCACAGGAAGGUUCUAAGAGAUAACAUCCAAGGAAUAACGAAGCCAGCCAUUCGUCGUCUGGCUCGUAGAGGUGGUGUGAAGCGUAUCAGCGGUCUCAUCUACGAGGAGACCAGAGGAGUCCUCAAGAUCUUUCUCGAGAAUGUCAUCCGUGACGCCGUAACCUACACUGAGCACGCCAGGAGGAAGACUGUGACCGCCAUGGAUGUUGUCUACGCCUUGAAGAGGCAAGGUCGCACUCUCUACGGUUUCGGCGGUUAAUCGAUCUCUUCGAUUUAUUAGGGCUUAUCGCAACUUUGGGAAUUUCUUCUUGUUUCUGAGAUUCUCUGUUAAAAAAAAAAAAAGCAAAUCUAGGAGUUUAGCUGCUACUACUACCGCUUUUAUUUCUUUUGUAUUGUUUGUUCUUAGCCAAUGUGAUGUGAUGAUGUUAGUUCAAAUAUCUUUGCAAACUUAUGCUUAAAAAAUUCAAUGAGAAUGAACCAGUUUGCUCUCUUCACUGCUAUCUUGGCAACCUCACACUCAAUCCCAACUCUUUAACAGGAAGCUGCUUUUAAUCUGUAUUUGUUUCAUUCUUUGAUAUCUAUCUAUUUGACUAUUGAGGUUGUGCUACCUCUUAAUCUGUGUAUCUCAUUCGAAACUGAUAAUAGCGUUUGGAUGGAGUAAUAGCCAUAUAGAAGUUUGUUUUCAAUUGAGAGAAUCAAUCUCAGAAUAAAGCAAGUCUCCUUAUAUAAUGUGGUGUCAUUUCAUCAUCACUUAGUUUUAGUUUUGGGAUCACGCCAUGUGGAAGCAGGCGAAAUGGUCUACAAUGGGCUGACAGAAGAUCACACGCCAUAUAGAAACUCCUAUCAGUAAUCCCUUUAUAACAAAAAAAAAAAAAACAAAAGAAAAUUUGCAAAAUCAGUAAGCUUUUAUCAAUGUUCAUGUUCCACCACCAACAAGCUUUUAAUUUCAUUCUCAGCUGGCUCUAUAUAAACAUAAAAAGAGGAAGAAGCAUAUAUAAAAAGAUUUUCCAAAUCAUCUCACGACCAUUGUUUGAGAAUUCCGCCGAAAUAUUCAUACUUUGUUCACACAGUUGGAGAGAAAAAGAUGAAAAGUUACAAAUAAUACAAAAUAGGAGAGGAGGAGCAUCACUACUAUUUCGUUUUUUUCAGCCAAUCAAAACGCUCUAUUUUAUACCCACUCGCACAAAGUGCGCGUUGCGCGAGUGUAUGCAAUUCCUGUAUGCUAUAAUCCCCAAAAUCGUGCCUAUUUGAUUCAACGCACUUCUUUCUCAAAAACUCGUCGCGUGGCUUUAAUGUUUUUUUCUUUCUUUUUCUCAAUAUUUAAUUUAAGUCGGUUUGCGUAACUUAAAACCAUGUAAACCGAACCAAAAUCAAUUGCAAUUGUUCCUGAUCUCAUGGGCGCAAAAUCUCAGAUUUGUUUUUGCGCAUGACCAGUUGACCACUCCAGAGUAGGCAUGUCAAUCGGGUUAGCCCGGCCCGGCCCGGCCCAAAACUCGUAAAGCCCUCAUAUAUUUGAGCCCGGCCCGAAAAAUAUUCGGGCCUAUAUUUCAAAGCCCGGCCCGGCCCUAACAGGGCUACAUGGCUUUUCGGGCUUUUUUGGGCUUUAACUAACGAUAAAAAAUCAACUUCUAAGUUCAUAAUAGUUUUUAAAAAACAAUAUUUAAAAGUAUACUAUAAAAAUAAUGUAUCAAAAUUUAAAUAACUUAUCAAUAUUCAUUAAAACUAACUUAAUUUAAGAGAAAAAUUGAAGACUAAAUAAAUUAUUUACACUUUAACCCAAAUAAAACAUGGAAUUAAAAUACUUUAAAAUAGAUGAUAGAGUCAAUAUCUAUAUAUAAUUUUAGUUUUGUUCAGUUUUGACAUAUAUAAAUAAUAGAAAAUAUGAUAGAUAAUGAUUUUAAAAGUAUUAAGUAAGGCUAGUAAGUAAAAAUGAAAAAUUAAUUCAUAAAUCAAAUCUUCUAUUCAAACUACAAUAUUUACAAAAAUAAAAAUAUAUUUAUUUAAGGGCUUUUCGGGCCAGCCCGAGCCCGACCGGGUUAAGCCCAGAAAACCCUUUAGCCGGAAAGGGCUUAGCCCAAAAAGCCCGAUUUUUUCUGGACAUAUAUAUUUAAGUCCGAGCCCGAUGUCUUUUAGGGCCGGGCCGGACUAGCCCGCGGGCUUUAGCCCUAAUUGACAUGCCUACUCCAGAAUGUGGUUUCUUCAUCACAUCAUCUUACAGAGAAAAUAUAUCGUACCAUUCUCUUCUUAUUUUAACGGAUUUUGCGAAUCACAACCAACUUUUCGUGUUUUUUUUCAAGGAAUGUGCGAAGCAAGCAGCGCUAGAGCCUAGAACUAGGCAAGCAAGGUCAAGCUAGAGCUACUGCUUUUGUUUUUUUUGUUGUUGUUCUUAGCCAAUGUGAUGUAGUAGUAGUAGUAGUUCAAUUUUUUGCAAACUUGUGCUUAGAAAAUCUAAUGGGAAUGAACCAGUUUGCUUAAUUUUUCUUGGUAUUGGCGAUAAUCAAACGGUGUUGAAAGUAACUUUAACUCUAGCUUUUCCAAGACUGCAAAUAUAUUUUAUGGUAUUAGAAUCCGACUACUAUAUUGCAGUCUGCAGCAAAAUGAAACCAGGGGUUGAAAACAGAGAAAAGAGAUUCGUGUCGCUGUUCUGAUUGAGUUUGUACCCAAACCAGAUCACCCCUUAAUCUCUCACCUAAUAAACCAAAUUGGUCGACCAUAUAUAAAUAGUUCGUUCACAAGUAAAGAAGCAUAGCAGUGAAGGCCGAGAGUUAAGCAACAAGUUAAUAUCAGCUAAAUCUAAAGAGUCUAGUAACGUAAUCCUGAGUGCGAGUUGAGUACAGCACCUGCAGCCCCAUCCCAAACCCCUGAGGCAAGUAUGCCCGCACAUACAGUAUCACAAAGUGGAGCACAUAUGACUUGCCAGAGAAAGAAACCCACCAAUUGCCAAACAAAAAGGUUCAACACUUGAUACAUUCCCAAAAGUGACUCAAUCAUGGCACACAAGUUUCCAUCUUUCGACAUUCAUCUUUCGAGAAUCAACGCCAAUAGAAAUCUUAAUAACAACUCACAAGUACCAAAUCGUUUGAGAGAUGAUUGUUCAAGAUUCAUGACACAAUCUAAUUCUUAUUGGCUGCAGUUACAUCAUUAAGAAUCAUGCUAGGAAAAAGCCAAAUCAUAGUAAAGAACUGAAACAUCAAAAACACAUUAUAGCUAAUGAGAAAGCUAGAAAAGCUGAAUUUUUUUACUUUCAUUCCAUCAUCCAAAUUGAAAAGAACAUAGACGAUUUACAAGGAAUUGAUAUAUUGAGAAUCAAAAUAUUGGUUAAGUAAAUAUAAUCCCCUAAGAGAAGAAACAAACUCACAAAGUCACUCACUAAGCUCAAUAAGUUUUGCAUCUCAUAGCCGGACCAACCAUCUUCCCUGAGCCACUAGUGAGGGGAACACCAACCGGAACAUCAUCGCAAUAAACAGAAACAUAUCUCCUCCUCCGGAAAGCACCGUACCGGAAAGUAACAAAAGAGCCCAUCCUCAAAUCAAACUCAACGCUUCCUUUGGCACCUCUCUCUUUAGCAAUAGCAUCAGCCAAGCGACCUUCAACAUAAGUCCCCGAAACAGAGAGCGUAGCGUUAACCACCGUCUGAUCCUUCUUCCCUUGAGAAAACGGCGGUAGCCUCGUAUCAGACAGAGGUGCACGGUGAUAAUAGAGAAGGCAACCAAGAGAGUCGUAGUAGAGUGACAUCUUGGAAUUAGGGUUUCGAAUCUGGGCCUGAAGAUCCCAUUUACCAGAGACUUGGUUGUUGGAAACGUUGAAAUUGGAGACGGAGAGGGAGUUAAGGUAAACGUCUGGUAACUGAGGACGGACGACGAGGAAGAAGAUGAAGAGAAUGAGGCCUAAGAUUAGGAGAAAGGCCAUGAAGACGAUGAAGAGACGACGGAAAAGGACGGCGCGUGGAUUCGGUUGGGGAGCAUAGUAUGGGUUAUGGUUUUGGUAAGGGUAAGCAGCGGCUCCGGGGUUAGGGUAGCCGUUGGUGGAAGCGGCGGGUGGUUGCUGUGGAUUCGGGUAUGGAUACGGGUAUGGGUAACCUGUAGCGGGUCGUGACGAAGGGUCUUGCAUAGCUUGAUUGAUUUGAUUAUCUUUUGUUUUUUUUGGAAUCUUAGGGAUUUGAAGAGACGAAGACCGUUUCUGAAUCUUUGUGAUGAAGAAUGAAGAAGAAGAAGAAGAAGAAGAAGAGAAUACAAGUAAGUAAAAGGAAGCAGGAAAAAAAGGUAAUUUAACCCAAAAAAGGAAACUCGAUUUUAUUAAAUACUUUCUCACGCGAUCUUAUUAAUAAUUUCUCACGCGUCUUUUUUUUUUUUUUUUUUUUUCUUAUUAUAGCAGUUGCACUUUCAUAAAAUGAAUUUUGUUUUUGUUAUGUCUUUGUAACUAAAUCAAGCAACUUUUGCUAAAAAGAUGUUAUCAUUUGUUUUCUCUUCUUCUUCGCCUUGGCAAUAAGAAAGUGAAUUUGAGUAGAUUCAUGUUGACUUAGCUGGGAACUACAAAUCCUCUCAAGCUUUUUAAAUAACAGAACCUGUUGAAUCUGCUAGAGAAUUUUUAUUUCGAAAUCUACCAUUUGAUCUACUUUACCAAGACCAAGUAAAGAAGCAUGGAUAAACAAUGAAAGAUUUGAUUUGACACAUUCAUCUUUCUACUAUGUCCAUGAACCAAAAAAAAUUAGAAACAUUUUAUAUCAAACCAAUAAAUUAUCGUUUUUGAAAAAUUAAAUAACCAAGGCUGAGAGAGACUUAGACCAACAAAGUUAAUUUCAGCUAAAACUAAGAGUCUUAUGAUUUCAAUUCUUGUUUUCUUACUCCUCCUUUUGCUUAGCGGACGGAGUGCGAAUUGAGUACCGGUAGCCACUUGUACACCUUCCUACAAACUUGAGCACUUCAUCUAUUAGGAUUACAGGAAGCGACACAGCCAGCACCAACAGCCACUCGUUCAAGCUCAGUGGCACUAUCCCAAAUACCUGAGCCAAGAAUGGAACAUACAGUAUCACAAAGUGGAGCCCAAAUGAGACCGCCAUUGCCAGGAGCAGCCAUGGGUUCACCCAUGGUGGCAUCGUCACCAGGCUGCCGUCUUCUGAGAGUGCGUUCAGGGAGUUGAACAUUUCUAUGGCCACCAACACCGACAGGGAGAGUGUUGAUGCCUUGAUUUUCCCCUGCUGGAAAUAGUCGCAAGGGUUUGAGUCGAAUGAGAAAGUCUGAGAGCCUGCUGUGAACGGAGACACUUUGAAGCCUUCCCACGAAGAGCAUUGGCCCCAAUGUGCGAGCUGUGAAUAGCUCACAAGGCUGUGACCAUCUUGGCUCAAGUCUAUGCCCAUGAAGCUGUUGUGUGUGUACCAUAUGAUGAAUACUCCCACUGUUGCUACUCCCACAUACAUUCCAAUCACCUGUAGGUACGUACCCAUAAUAGUCAGUUACAAAAAUCCCCAGAAGAUGAACAAGUCAGACAAAUCGGUUUUUGCUUACCAUAUAGCGGAAGAGGAUCCAGGCAGUGAUAAGCGAGUCAUCGCUCCUACGAGGAGGCUUCUUCAUGAUGUCUUUGUCAGGGGGAUUGAAUCCCAAAGCCGUAGCUGGAGGGCCAUCUGUUACAAGAUUCACCCACAGAAGCUGAACUGGGAUCAUGCCUUCUGGGAUUCCAAGAGCAGCUGUCAAGAAUAUUGAUGCAACCUCGCCGAUGUUGGAAGAGAUCAUGUACCUUUGAUUCAUCAUAGUCAGAUAUAUAGGCUUAGUAUGAUACUCAAGCCACCAAUACAAAGAAGCAUAUAUGUAUGUAACAUUAGAAGACUCACCUGAUGAAGGCCUUCAUGUUAUUAUAGAUGGACCUGCCUUCACCAACAGCUGCAACAAUAGUGCUGAAAUUAUCGUCUGCCAACACCAUGUCAGAUGCCUCCUUUGCUACCUACAAAAUGCCCAGAGCUUUAGAAAGCUAAUGGAGCUUUCCAUGGUUGAAGAUGAGAGAAGAGAUACAAUACCUCUGUGCCGGAAAUCCCCAUAGCCACACCAAUAUCAGCCAACUUCAGGGCAGGAGCAUCAUUGACUCCAUCUCCAGUCAUGGCAACUACUUCUCCAUCUUCUUUAAGUAACCUGACAAUCUCUUGUUUGUGCUUUGGCUCAGCCCUCGAGAAUAAGAGCCCUCCAGUCUGUCUUAGAUGAUUCUUCUGAUCUUGAACAUCCAUAAAUUCUUUUCCUGUCAAGCUUCUUGAGGAGAUAUCUUCAUCUGCUUCAAAUACGCCAAUUUCACGGCAGAUUGCUUCCGCUGUGCUCUUGUUGUCUCCGGUAAUGACCAUGACCCGGAUACCUGCUGUCCUGCAGUCUGCAAUGGCUUGACGCACCUCUUUCCUUGGAGGAUCCUUCAAUCAUUGAAUAGGUAGAGAAUGAAAAUAUUAUUACUGAGGAUCUGGAAAGAACAUAUAAUAUCAUGGUGAUCAUGACUCACCCUUAAACCAACAAAUCCAACGAAUAUUAGAUUGGACUCAAUAGACGAAUAAUUGGAUGGGUUGAGAAGUUGCUGAUGAGCAGGAUGGUCUUCACUGCCAUCAUAAGUGGCAAAAUCUGAUGGAACAUCUGUGUACGCAAAUCCGAGACACCUUAAUGCACCCAUGGACAUAUCAUGGAGGCUUUGUAAAAUAAGAUCCCUUGAGUAUUGGUCAAGCUCUUGAACGGAACCAUCAAGUAGCUGGAUACGUGUACUCCUUUCCAAUAAAUUUUCUACCGCACCCUGCAUAAUUUCAAAAUUGGUUUCUUAGGUGCUGAAAAGGAGGGGAGAAAUGUUUUCUCAACAAAUUAGAUGCAAGAACCAAAGCACAAGCCACACUGAUUUCACAAGCUCGACCUCGGAAGCUAGAAUAUGAUAAAUGAUGAAAAACAGACCUUGACCAGUAGCAGCUUCUUUCCUGAGCUGGAAUCCACCAUAACUCCCAUUGAUUUCCUGUCACGGUCAAACUCAAGGGUGGCAAUCCGUUGUUCUAGUUCACUCCAUAGCCGACAACAACCUUCAAUAAUAAUAAAAAAGGAAAAGUGCAGGCGUUAAGCAUAUGUAAACUGUUUAAACAAAAAAACCGAAUAUAAUUCAGGAUACAUACGUAAGACACCGCCAUCAGACGAAUCUUUAUUUAAUCCUUCAGGGAAUCCCAUUUUCUCAACCAAAACCUGCUCAAAUAAACACACCAAUAGAAAGAAAAAUCAUUUAAGGGCAACGAGCAAAGAAGUCUUUUUUGUCAAUUUAGUUAAGAAGAGAAAGGUGCACGCUAAUGCAUUACCUUCAAAGCUGCCUCAGUAGGCAUCCCCCUAGACACAAACUGCUGAUCAGAUUGCUCGACAUUAGCAUCAUUGCAAAUUGCAGCAACUUUUGCAAUCAUCUGAAGAUUUGCAUCCAUCCGACCUUCUGGCCAAUCUUCAAUCUUUCCAUCCCGAGGAUCAAAUGAAGUCCCCUCAACAUUGAAAGAUCGGAGGGCUCCAAUCCUAGAACCCAUAGCAACAAGCUUUGAAACAGCCAUCUGAUUGGUUGUCAGAGUUCCAGUUUUAUCAGAGCAUAUUACAGUAGUGCAUCCAAGAGUCUCCACACUGGGCAACUUCCUAACCAGAGCGUUCUUCUGCGCCAUCUUCCGUGUGCCAAGCGCCAAACAUGUGGUAAUAACUGCUGGGAGACCUUCUGGAAUCGCAGCAACGGCCAAUGCUACAGCAAUCUCAAAGUAAUAUGUGCACUUCUCAAAGGAGAACUUAAAGUUUCUGGGCCAGCCAUCAACAUACUCCCAGGAGAGAAAGUAUUUGACAUUGAUGAGCCACACUAACACACAAAUUAACCCAAUAAUCAUAGUCAGAACUUCCCCAAACUCGUUAAGUUUUUUCUUCAGAGGAGUAUCUUCCUCAUGUUGUGCAGCUUCCUGAAUUUGUGAGUGAACCCUUCCAAUCUCAGUAUUCAUUCCAGUGUCUGUGACUAGGCAUAUACAGUUACCAUUCACAACGGUGGUUCCUGCAAAGACCAUGCAUUUCUUUCCUUGAAUAUCGGCAUUCUCAUCCACAGGCUUGGUGGUUUUGCUCACAGCCUCACUCUCUCCUGUUAAGGACCCCUGCUCGACUCUCAGAGUUGAGCUGAUAAGAGAAAGCACACGCAUAUCAGCAGGCACCUUAUCACCAACCCUCAAUUCCACAAUGUCACCAGGAACAAGCUCCUUUGCAGGCAAACUGGAAACCUUGGUGCCAUCACGCAUGACAGUAGCUUGCUGAGACUGAAUCUCCUUCAAAGCUUCCAAGGCCUUCUCGGCAUUAGUUUCUUGCCAGAUCCCGACAAUAGCAUUAACAAUCAAGAUGAGAAAAAUGACAAGCGGCUCAACAAAUGCGGUGAUACCCAUCUCACCACCUUCGUCGCCAUCAAAGAAGGCCAAGACAAAGGAAAUAACAGCGGCCGCCAAAAGAAUACGAACCAAUGUAUCAUUGAACUGCUCCAAUAUCAACUUGAAAAUAGAAGUGCCCUCAGGCUUCUCUAACUCAUUCAAACCAUAGAUCUGAUGGCGCUUCAAGACCUCAUCAGUACUCAACCCUUUCUCACGACUAACACCAAAUUUGUCUUCGCAUUGGGCAACAUCGUUAGCCCAAGCAGGAAAAGAAUCAGACUUGAUUAAUUCAGAAUGCUUAGAUUGCUUAUUACCCCAGUCUUCACCUCCUUUCCCCAUUAUUAUCUUCCACUGAAAAACAAAACAAGAUCAAAUUAUAUACCCAGAAAGACAAUCAAUCUAGUAGUAAGCUUCAACUUUACACAGUAUAUGAAAACAGAGAUUGAAAUCCGAAGUUGAAAUUGAAAACUAUCAACCAACCAGAGAAUAAUAACAAAUCAUCAGAUUUGAAAAAACAAUCGAGAAAUUUUCGAGUGGCCGCAUAAAAACAAAACUAGAGAUCAACGUCAAAACAAAAAUCGAUGAUAUACGAAGAUUCCAAAACUCAAAUUCCGAGAAGAGCGAAGAACACAAGACUACGAGAUCUCCGAAAGAGAAAGAAAAAAAAAAAACUCACCAGAACGGGCGCGGAUAAAACUCCGUACUGUUUCUUCGAUGCGGAGAUCGUACGCCUCUCUCCAGAUACUUCUCUUCUUCUUACUUCUGAGGGAGCCUCUACAUAUAUAUAUUUAUUCAAUAUGUAUUGUUGAAUAUCUUAUUAUAUAAAUUUUGUUUUUAUUAUUUAUAUAGGUUUUUAUUCUUAAGAGUUUAAUGGCUUGUAUCUUUCCUGGAAAGCGACGGGGACACGAUCUCAUAAGAUAUUGCAUUUAAAUCCUUAUUCUUCUUCUUGUUUAACAACAAAGUCCUUCGCUUAGUCUAUUACUUAAGGGACUGAGAGUGUAAUUCUGUUGUUUUAGGGGGGUGAUCUGUUAAUUUAAAUAAGUUUUUAUUAUUUUUAAGAGGAGAAGUGUAAAACAUUUAAAUGUGCGAAUAUUUGCUUUAGGAGAAGCAAUCUAGAGAUUCCAACGUCGAUGGGCUCAGCCACGUCACGUGGACACGGCGAUCACAUGGGACUGGCUCUGCCACGCCAAUAGUGACACAUGGCGAGUUUUCAUUGGUUACAAGUAACUAGCCAAGUUGCUUUUCAACCUUUAAAUGAAAAAGUCAGAAAAACUAGUUUUGAUCAUUUUGGUUUCCUACUUCCUCAUUUGCCAAGUUGAAUUGACAAAUAUUGUAAUAGGUAUUUUUUAAAUUAUAAAAAUUUAUUUAUUUAUUAAGUAAAAAAGUGUAUAUAUAGUUUGCCCCAUUAAAAUUAGAGAGAUAGGAUAUAAAUAUAAAUCUAACUAUUAAUGUUGGAUAUUCUACCUCAUUCAUUUAGAUUUCAUUACUUGUUAGUUUCAUUACCUUAACCUUUUUAAACCCAAAUAGGAAUAUCCUGAUUAUGUGUGACUAAUUUUAAAAAAUAAUAUAAUUAAUUAAACCAAAGAUGUAAAAGAAAAGAAAAUAACACUAUGCCAAGCCGAUUGCUCUGCUAAUCACAUAAGGCCCAAAUGUUUUAUAUAAAUUUAGGACCUAUAUCUCAUUACUUUCCGACUUGGGCUUUAAAAUAGCCCACCAUGAAUAUGACCUUACUUGGCUUCUUCUAUGUUAAGUUUCGAUCUUUUCAAAUGCAAAUAUGUUCAUGUCAAAAUAAAAAUUUUAAAAAUACAACACAUAAAAUAAAAGAAUCUUUGGUAUUAGUUAUAUAUCAAAUUUUGGACUGAAUCUGCAAUGAAAGCUAUAAUAUUAUCAAACAAAAAUUGUUAUUAAAGGCAUGUGUUGCAUUUAAUAUUUAGAAGGAAUAGAAUGGGCAAAGAUGAUAACUUGCAUCCCACAAAGUCACAACAACACAACUUCUCUAUAUAAUUGCAUGUACGUUUUUUGGACGGAUGAGGGUUUUUAGCUUCUUGAUGCAGAGAGUUCAGAAACCAUUACGAAUUUAAGAGUCAGUCAUGAAUUGUUCAGUGAGUAUAAUGUUCAACAAAACAAUUACGAUACCAAAAACAUAUAUAUCAAAACUUUAUACAUAUGUCAGACUAUAUAUUUCGCAAACCAAAAAACCUCAUUUUUGCGUUUCUAAAAAUUCAUUCAUAUAAAAAUAUGGUGGACUACUUCUGUAAAGUGUUAAAUUAUAAAUUUCAUAGUUGAAUCAAACUCUAGAACGGAUAAAAUACGGGAAGUUGAUGACUUGCAUCCCAUUAUACAUCAAACCUUUUCUUAUGUUAUAUAUAUAUAUAUACUCAGUUACUCAUAUACAUUGACAUACAACAUGUACAAAUUUCUCCGUUAAUGGAAAAAUACUGAUUCAUUCGUCUUUUUCUAUUAUACACCCAACAAUGGUCUCGUUCCGUAUCGUCCUUCUUAUCUUUCUCUUCGCCCUUAUUGCUAUUGUUGGAUCCACAGUUGGUAUAUUCUUCUUAUUGCUUUUAAACAUCUACGACACAUUUUGCACUUUUAACUUAUAUAAUAUGUGUAUAUAAAAUUGAAAUACCUAUUCUCACCGAUCAGGGGAACAAGGCUGUGGUUCAUCUCCGAGCCGGGAAGAUUUAUACGACGAACAGACGCGACAAAAUUUGGACAAUGGGGACAAGUUUAAUAGGAUCACACUCGACUGCGGUGUUACCGGUGAAGGCAGCGUUGGAACCAACGGUUUCGCAACGAUCAUAGACCUAUCUGUUGGUCUCUUCUUUGUUAUUUGUGUCGCCAUUGGAAUUUGGAUUUUCUUCGUCCGAAGACAAAAGGCCAUCAACGCAGCCCUUGCCAAACCCUAUCCAGGUAUAUAUCAUAUUGCAUGAAAACUUUACUAUAUCAUAAUUAAUGUAACAUAUAUGCAUCAUACAUAUUAUUAAUUCAUUUUGUAAUUAGACCAGUAUUCUGGAUCAUCUACAGAGAUUGCAGAUAAUAUUAAAACUAGUACUUAUUUGGUUCGAUAUAUGUAAUUAAAUAGGAGAAGAGAUGGGCUAUGGAAUGGAUGUGAAGACAAAACCUGUUGCCAUGAGUGCUCCUGCUUGAAAGCUUUCAAAUGGCGACACCAAUGUUUGAUACAUACACUUGUAUUCGUAAUUACUAAUCUUUGGUUCUGAUCAUAAUCUUUUCUUUUAUUUAUUGUUAAUGGUAUGAUUUUUUUAUCAUUACAUGUUUUAGGAUUCGCGUGGCCACAUUUGUAUCUUUCUCAGAUUUUAUAUAUAUCUGCUUUUUUUUUUCUUUUAUCCAACUAAUGGCUAAUAGAUCUUUUUAAAAAACUGAAAAUGUUAAAAUAUUUAUUUUAUGUUUGGAUAUAAAUUUAUUUAUCAUGUCUAUCAAAAUUUCAAAUAGAUAUACAUGAUGAUAUAAUAUUUAAUAAAAUUUGGUAUAAGAAGAUAUAAAGAUCAUUUUAAAAUUCUUUUGACUAUUUAAUAUUUCAAAACAAAAAAUCCAUAAGUAAUAAGAUAUUUGCAUUUGUCCAUCAACAUUUGUUUUCCCCAUUAAAAAACCAGAUAAGACUUUAAUAAAUAAAAAAAGACUAAUUGUUUGGUCUUAUCUUUAUGAUAAUAUUAUAGAAAAGAAAAAAUAAUAUACAUUGCUAAUUUGCUAUCCAAAGCCAUUAAUUUCCUUUUCACAAUGCCCAAAACUUAUUGGUGGAUUUUACACUUUAGAGGUUUCUUUAAAUUAUUAGAAACCAAUAUCUAUGAAGCAAUGUAUUAUUGUAUUGGGAUUUUUGUAAGUCGUACGUAGUUUUCAUGGAAAUUGGUUACUACUUGAUGAGUAUAUAAAUAUCCCUGUUGUACAUGUUCAUAUCAACAAACCUAAGAAAGCUUUUUCUAGUCAAACACAGACAGCCUAAAGCUUAUAAUCAAGAAGGCCAACAAAGACAGCUUACCAAUCAAUCGGUCCACAAAGCACUUCCAGCUAUCUCAGUUUAUAAACUACAAGUUGACAAAUAUAAUAAGUGAGCACUGAGCAGACGCAAAUAGGCCACAUAGAGAAAAUUUUGCUACAUAUAGCAAAGUCUUGUGUUCAUGUCAAAAACACAAGGCAACGGUUUCAAUGGCUUCCAAUCUCAUCUUCGUCGUCUUCUUCAUAUUCGUGUCUUUUUCUCUAACUUCUGGAUAUUCUAUUUCCACGAGAAGUGCUGUCUCAAAGUAAGAACACUUGACAAUUCUGUUACAUAUAUAUAUAUAUAUAUUUUUUUUUUCACAUGGCUGAAACUAAAACACUGCUCUGCUUUAUCUCUGUUUAGACAAGAAGAUGAAUCAUAUGUUAUGGAUCAAGAAUCGCCGAUGGUCGUUGUCGAAGAUGUAGUAAGAAGUCGUCUUCUAGCCAGAGUCGCUCGCUCAGGAGCAGUCGUGAAUAAAGGAUCAGCUUCUAAGAAAUCUCCGAGCAAAGGUAAACAAAAAAGAAAAAGAUGAUCUACACUAAAGAAAUUGUUUCAUAUUAUUAUGUUUUGAUCAUAUAUUAAUUCUUAAGCCUUUUAAAGUACAUUAAUUUUGACAUUAGUAUUAAAACAUUGCAGGUCCAAAGAAGAAAGAAACGAGUAAGAAAAUAUAUAUAGGAUCAAUAGAUGUCAAAAAGUUGCUUCAAUUUUCAUACUUUACGAACACAUAUAUUAAUUAAGUCUUUCAUCGUACAUUGAUUUUGACAUAGUGUAAACACUUAAUUAAAAUUGCAGGUCCAAAGAAGAAAGAAACGAGUAAGAAUUGAUGUUGAAAAAAUUGCUUCAAUUUUCAUGCUUUUCGAACACAUAUACUUAAGCCUUUUAAUUAAUACAUUAAUUUGAUAAAACUAUAUACAAUUUUUUUAAAAAAAAUUGCAGUUGCAAAAAAGAUAAAUAAGAUCAACAAGAUCAAGAAAAUCAAGAAAAUAGGAGCAUUGACUGUUGGAGCUUUUGUCGGAAUCAUCAUAGCAGCAAUUGUGGUUGGCAUUGCGAUAAUCUGUGUUGUAUACAUUUUAUUAGUUUUAUACUUCAGACGCAAAGCAAAGAAGGCUCAAAGCACUGAUGAACAAGGUAAACUUAUCAAAAAGUUCAUUCGAUAUAUAUAUAUAUAUAUUAGUACUUCUUUUAUAUAUAAUGAGUUGCUAAAUUUUUUUUUUUUUUUUUUUUUUUUUUUUUUUUUUGAUGUGUAUAAAGACACUGCUGCUGCUAAAGAAAAAAUCAACGACUCAUCCGAAACUCAAACUUCCAGAAAAGAGGAUGUGGUCUAAACAUCACUAUGGCUUUCAUAUAUCAAUCAUCUUGCGGGGGGAGCUAAAGAUAUAUUCGAUCCUUUUCUUUGUGUGGUUUAUUUAUUAGUUAAUUCUAUGUUAUAUAUGUUCUGUGACGAUGUGUUGAAUUACGUUAUGAAUCUUGGUUGAUUAGGAGAGUGUAAAUUUAAAUUUUAAAUUUGGGGUUGAUAAUGAAUUUGGUUACAAUGAAACUGAUGAAAAGAGUAUCAAUUUCGAUAAGCAUAAUAAAAUAUCCAACUCACCUAACAUAACAAUGAAAAUUAAAUUGAAUUCCACCAACAACAAAUAAAUAGUACAUUAAAAGUUGAAUAUUUGUCUCCAAAACAAGAAGUCUCUCAUUAUAUUCAAGAACAUAAUUAUUACUUGUUCGAUCACAAUUCACAAGUACAAUAUAUAUCACCUUAUAUUAAUCUUUUUCAAAUUUCUUUAGCAAGAGAAAAAAGGGAAAAAUAAAAUGUAAGACUAUCCUUAAUGCAAGCAUUUUAGGAGGUAUCUUAUCUUAAAAUUUGCAAAAAAAAAAUCUUAUAUAAGGUAUUCUCUUUGCAAAUCUUAGGGUAAGAUACAUCCUAAGAUAUUUGCAUUGAAGAUGCCCUAAACCCUUUAUGGGAUUAUCUUCGCAGUACUUGUGGUCUUCACUGUUGUAUACGUUUUUCAUCUCAAGCGCAAAACAAAAACUGCUCAAAGUACUAUAUUAACAUUCUCAAUAGAUUAGUUGAAAUUUAUCAGUAAUAAAUUGCUAAAAUAAUGUUCUUUUAUAGAAGGUACUGCUGCUGUUACGGUGACAAAAAAAAAAAAAAAGUACUGCUGCUGCUACUGAAAAAGUCAAUGAGUCAUCGGGAACACAGACUUCCAAAAACGAGGAUCAUGUCUGAAAACAAACAUCAUCGCCAUCAUCACCUCAUGAGAAGCUCACCAUUUAUUAACUAUUAUUAUCCUGUUCGCUGUGUACUUUUUUUUUUUUAAAAGUUAAUCAGUUAAUGUGUGUGUUAUGGUUCAAGUGUUUUUUUUAAUUGAUAUAUUAAAGUAUUGUCCACUUCUACAUAUGUUGCUUUUGAAUAGCGUCAUACAGAGUAUCGAACUCAAUAUUGAAAUUGAUUAAAAGAGUAUCAAAUCCAAAAUUUGGUUUCAUGAUGAGAUUUAAUUACAUUAAAUCUCAUUUGAGAAGUAUAAACACAAAAUUUAAGAGUAUCCAACUCAAACAAACAUAUAGUACUAAAUUAAAUAUUUAUAUCCGAAUACAUUUUUUUAAAGAAAAUAAAUUAUCAUCUAAGGUACACCAAAUUUAUAUACCACUUAUACAAUAAUUAUUAUUCAAAUAAAUUAUUUGACGUUGUAGUAGCGCCAUUAGUUGCAUGGGCCUAAUAACUAGUAAGAUACGAAAUUUGGAUUUGUGGUCGAAAAUAAAGUGAAGAAGAUAAAUCAUAAAGUCAAAAGUCGUACACUUUGGUCAUAUGAUAUAUAUGCCAUGGCUGACAAAACCGGGACCAAGUUCGCCGAGUUUCCGAGUUUCCGAGUUUCCGAGUAGGACGGUCCGAGCAACUAUAGAGAGUAGAGAUCAUCGGGUAAAGUAGUACAAAAGGACGGAUUUUUAUUUUUCCGAUUUCUUCUUUUAUCUUCGAGGCUUUCGACCAUUGGUGUGCCAAGAUUGAGUUUUUAUUUCUGUUCAUCGUUCGGGUUCAUAGUAUUAAUACCAGGUAGUGUGCUUUGUUUCGCUGCGGAUUACAAAAAAUCUGAUUUCUUUAGGGUUUUCGUUUAUUUUCCGAUUCCGAAACGGUUGAUUUUUUCAAUUGAAUCCUUUAAUCUGGUUGCCCGUUUUGUCUUAAUUCUCUGCGAGUUCCUGAAUGGGUUGUUCGACAUGUUUAUAUGGUUCUGUUUUGUACUCGAAUUCUGUAAUUGAUUCGAAGUUCCUCCCUUUCAAUGUAUUAUUCCGUUUAUCUGGUUCCUGCCUCACCAACUAAUCGUUCGUUUCAGGCCAAUCAACUAAUUACGAGUGCAAUCUGAGUUCACUUCUCUGCUUGGUUUGCUAAUGAACUUUUGCUUGUGGAGUUGAUUCAUCUCUGCAAAUGUCAAGUUUACUCAAUGUACUACCCACAUCUCUUUAGACUAAUGUGUUGAACUUUUGCUUGCUAUGAUUCUGCAUUAAAGUUUGCCUUUUUUUAUUUCUUAUUCUCAUUUGCAGAUUUCUCAUGGAUACUCAGGACUCACUAAUGGGGGAGAUAUAAAUACUGUUGCAAACUCUAGAUGGAUCUGCCGCAACGCUGGAGUCAGGUUGUCGUUUCCAAGAGGUGUAGGUUCAUCCAUGAGUAUAAACAUCACAUUGGGCUGGAAGCUUCAGCGUGGGAGAGCAAAGAGCUUAAGUCAGGAGAACCAAGUGGACUUAUGUGGUGAAAAUGAUGAUCUAUGUCCUGUGGAGUGCGUCACUGAGUUCAAGACAGAUGAUGAAUUGCUUAGAGUCCUUGAAAAAUCGAAAGAAACCAACACUCUGGUUGUGGUUGAUUUCUAUCGUACUGCCUGUGGGAGUUGUAAAUACAUAGAGCAGGGCUUCUCAAAGCUAUGCAAGCAAUCUGGUGACCAAGAAGCUCCUGUUAUCUUCCUUAAGCAUAAUGUGAGUCUUUGAUCUUUCAUCAAGAUAGGAGAAGUAGAAGUAGAAGAAACUAUCUAGUGAUGAUAGCUUAAAUGCCUUUUGCAGGUGGUAGACGAAUAUGAUGAACAAUCUGAAGUCGCUGAAAGGCUCCGUAUCAAGGUAAUCCCUCUUUCGAAUUUCGGUAUAAAUAAACAAGAUUCAACAACAAGACUGCAUAGUAAAGAGUUUGAUUUACUACAAUCUUCAGGCGGUUCCUCUCUUUCACUUCUACAAAAACGGAGUUCUCCUAGAAUCAUUUGCAACUAGAGACAAGGAGAGGAUUGAUGCUGCCAUUCUCAAAUAUACGUCCUCGGAAUCUUGAAGCACCAUUCCAUUAAACCGCACUCUGGGGUAUUUUUCCCAUAUCAUUGAAUAUGAUGUAGCUAGAUUGAACAGCACAACAUCCUCAAACAUGUUGUAUACUUGUAUCCUAAAAUCCCUUAUAGGUAUCAUACUGAAUAAGACGGGUGCAACAUUUUGAUAUCUUUUUCAUUUUUGCUUGCCUUUUAUGUCUUCAUUCAUUAGCCACAUAUGUAACAUAUGUCCAAAAUCUGCAGUGAUAUAGCUUUCAUACGUAGCUUACUAGUUUGGUUUCUUCACCAUAAUUUUGGUUCCAAUAUAUACAGCAGGAUCUAGAAACCAGAUUGCAACUACUCUCAUAGUAGUAUGACUAUAAAUCCCAUCUGACAAAUAGAGAAACACAUGCUAGACUCAUAAACGCCGAUACAGUGUUGUUUCCGACAGCUCUUUGAUGCUCAGAUCAGUAAAUAAGACCACGCGAAUUUUGUCAUGACCAUUUAUACUGUUAUUUAUAACUAAAGUUUCUUCACAUUGAGUCAUUGACUAGAUACUGUAUAGUUAGUAAUCUCAGUCAGAUAUGGUCAAAUUUAUGUUGUUUUAAAAAAUGAAAUUGAAAUAUAUUGACAACUUUUUCAUUUAAAUUAUUCAACAUAUUAAACCUAACUAAAAAGGUAAAAAUUAUACAUUUAUUUAUUAUUGUAGAAAUAAAUAUUUUUAUGUGCAUAUACAGUAAACCUAAUUCCUAGUUACUAUGAGCAUUUGAUGAUUUACCUAAAAAACAUGUUUCUUGGCUCAUAAACCCUGAAAUUAAAAUACCAAUACACUUGUAGAGGAGAAAACAAAAAAAAGGCUCCCUUUAAUUUGUUCUGUUCGCCUCCGAGUUCCGAAGCAGGACGGUCCGAAACAUAUUACAGUAAAACCGGUUAGUCCUACAAAAGAUCCGAUUUUUUUUGUUUUUUUUCCGAUUUCUUCUCCUUCUUCGAGAAUUCUGAUCCUUGGAGCUUCAAGAUUGUGUUGCUUUGUUCAUCCUUUGGGUCCUUACUAUUGUCAGGUUCUAUUUCGUUUGGCUGCAGAUUAUAAAUCUGAGUGUUUUAGGGUUUUUGUUUAUUUGUGGGCAUCCUUUUAUUCCAAUAUCGCAAUGGUUGUCUUCUCUAUUGAACCCUUAAUCUGGUUGCUGCCAUUAGACUGUUCAAUCCUGUUUUGUCUUAAUUCAUAUUCACUUGCUGAAGGGGUUUUGAUUGUUUGUAAUGUAAAAUUCGGAUGUGUUGAAGUGGUACUGUUUAUAGCUCUGUGAUCGAUUCAAAGUUGUUCCCUUUCCAUGUAUUUGAUGCCUCACCAUUUGUUGGAUCAUUCGUUUCAGGCCAAUUAAUCGUUUACGACUGCAAUCUUUCAGUCCUGCUUUCACUGAAAGGGAUCCUGCUUGGUUUACGGAUGAACUUUUGCUUGUGGAGUUGAUUAAUAUCUGCAAAUGUCAAGUUUACUUAAUGUACUUCCUUAUGCCUUUAUAUCAAUGUGAUGCAGUGCAGUGUUGUCAAUGUAGCUUGUAUGAUAUUUGAUGUUUAUCAAUCCUCUGACUAGUGGUUAUUUACAUUGAUGUUUUCAGUCCUCAAUUAACGGGUCUACCUCGAACUUGUCGGACGGUUCAGGGAGAACAUUUACUUCUUCUUUCUCUGGUCAGUCUGGGGCUGCGUCUCCAGUCUUCCAUCAUGCUGGUGGGUAGAUGUUUCCCGAGUUAUUUCCGUCUGCAUUCUUCUCAACUUAUACUAAGUUUUUUUUGUUUUCUCUAUAGGAUCGAUUCAAGGCCUUCACAAUAUUCAUGGUAACUUUAAUGUUCCCAAUUUGUCCGGUUCCCUUGGAUCAAGAAAUCCAGGUCUAAAUGGUGUUCCUUCUGCUGGUGUCCAACAACAAAAUGGAAGUAUUUCGAAUGGAAGAUUUGCAUCCAGCAAUAUUCCGGUUGCACUCUCUCAGGUGUAGCAUGCAUAUUUGAAAAUAAUGAAAAAAUGACUAAUUGGUUUCGCUUUGCCAUAAAGUUUGCUUAUGGAUUCUCAUUUGCAGAUAUCUCAUGGUAGCUCUCAUGGACACUCAGGACUCACUAACAGGGGAGGUAUAAGUUCUGCUGGAAACCCUAAGUCAGUAGUAACACUAAUCGCUUUUAGUAGAUUUUUCCUACGUUUGCCACCAAUUGGUAAAUUUUUUACUAUACCAGGAUUGGGAGUUUCUCCAAUUUUGGGAAAUGCAGGUUCUCGAAUGACAAGUUCCAUGGGGAAUAUGGUCGGUGGAGGCACAAUGGGUAGGAAUUUGAGCUCUGGAGGAGGAUUAUCGAUUCCGAGUCUUGGUUCGCGGAUGAAUAUGGGGGUGAAUAGUGGAUCUGGAAAUAUUGGACAAAAUCGCCUGAUGGGCGGGGUCCUUCCACAAGGUACUUUAUGAUUUGUAUCCUUUUCUGCUGUUUGCUUAACUUUGUAACGCAUUUGUAUGGAUUAAUUUGAUAUACAAAUCCAUUAGUGUAUGUGAAGUCAAAUCCUUAUUAUAUCCAAGAAGAAAUUAUUAAACGAAUAACAUCGGAUUUCAAUUAGUAUUUGGGAAUCACUAACCACAUCAAAUUUUGACACAGAUUUUAAAAAUAAUGAUCCAAUAACACAUGCUUUUGUUGGAUUUUAAAGAUCAAUUAAACCCAAUAACCCAAUAACCGCACAUAUAUAUAUAUGUCUCUUCGUAUCUUGAUAUGUGUUGUGUAGACUCUUAUAUUCUAUCCUUUUCCUUCAGGAUCACCGCAGGUUCUUUCGAUGCUGGGAAAUUCUUACCCUACUGCUGGGGGACUUUCCCAAAAUCAUGUUCAAGCAAUGAACAGUCUAACCUCCAUGGGAUUGCUGAAUGAAAUGAACUCCAACGACACUUCUCCAUUUGACAUAAACAAUGAUUUUCCUCAGCUCACAAGCCGACCCAGCUCUGCCAGCGGUCAAGGACAAUUGGGUAAGUAAUAAAAACCCUUUAAUUCUAUCUUCUUUCUAUUACCAGUUUGAACCGAAAUUAUACUCCGUCCUUGUCUGAAAAUUCGUAGGGUCUCGAUUGAAACAAGGCCUUGGAAUCAGCCCCAUAGUUCAGCAAAACCAAGAGUUCAGUAUCCAAAAUGAAGAUUUUCCAGCAUUGCCAGGAUAUAAAGGUCUCCCUUUUGAUCUGCAACUUUUUUAGAUGGUCCAAUUUGAUAGAAAAUUCUCAGUUUCUGUCUUACUUGUGUGCAUUAUGGAAUUUGAGGUUUUCACUCCAAAUGGAACGAUCUACCUUCCACAUUGGCAUAAUAUUUGGUGUUGAAGAAAUUUAGAGAGCAAUUUUGUGAUCAUUCCCAGCAGAACUACUAAUCAUCUUCAUAAUCCAAUAUGAUACUACCCUCUUGAAUUAUCAUUAUAAUACUAGUACAGAAUGUUCUUCUAUUAAAAAAAUUCUGACACUUGCAUCCUGUCUGCAGUCAGUUUAUUUGUUGUUCUUACUAAUAGAUUUCUGAUUAACGUAUAGUCAUGGUAAGAUUGAUUGAUGUUAUACAGGAAAUAAUGCUGAUUAUCCAAUGGAUAUGCAUCAUAAAGAACAACUCCAUGAGAAUUCAAUUUUAAUGAUGCAAUCUCAACAAUUAUCUGUGAGUUUUAGCUUGUCAAAAAAUGUCAUUGGGAUUAAUUUUCUUCCAUUGAAAGUUAUUCUUGAAACGUUUACCUUACUUAUCCUCUAGAGUGGCUACUUGCAGAUGGGAAGGUCUGGUGGGUUUAACCUAGCUGGAGCUUACGCAUCUCAUCGUCCUCAACAACAACAUGCUCAAGCUGUGGGUAGUAGUGGUGUCUCCUUGCAUGGAUCUGACAUCUUCUCAUCUUCGCAUCCAUCUUACCACUCACAGGUUUGUCUAGUUUGUUACAGGCUGAGAUUUGAGCUGUAUACUUCAGGAAACCAACGUUCUUGUUCUUUCUAAACAACAUUUGAUUGAUUUCAGGCUGGUGGACCACCGGGUAUCGGAUUAAGAUCUAUGAAUUCUUCCAAUUCUGUCACUGGGAUGGGUUAUGACCAGCAGCUUAUCCAGCAGUAUCAGCACCAACAGAACACAUCACAGUAUCGCUUGCAGCAGAUGUCGGCUGCUAGCCAACCUUUCAGAGAAGUGGGAUUAAAAUCAACGCAGGUGACACAGGCAAAUCCUGAUCGGUUUGGCUUGCUUGGUUUGCUCAGUGUGAUAAAGAUGACAGACCCUGACUUGACUUCUUUGGCACUUGGGAUUGAUCUGACAACACUGGGGUUAAAUUUAAACUCGACAGAAAAUCUUCAUAAGACUUUUGGCUCGCCUUGGUCCAAUGAACCCUCUAAAGGUGAUCCAGAAUUCAGUGUACCGCAGUGUUACUACUCAAAAAACCCUCCACCUCUACAUGUAAGUACUCUACUCUCUCAUAAGUACACCAUCAUUCACUUGUCUUUCUAGGUUUGUAUUCUUACAUGAGCUGGUUUUAUUUUCAUUUUGGUGGAUGCAGCCUGGGCUUUUUGCAAAAUUAUUGGUGGAAACAUUGUUUUACAUAUUCUAUAGGUAAAUAUAUUUGGGAUUGAACAACUUGUUGUUUAUGGGCUCUCUUGUCACAACAACCUUACCAAUUUUUCUCGUGCAGCAUGCCAAAAGAUGAGGCGCAAUUAUAUGCGGCAAAUGAACUGUAUGUACUUUUCAUUAUAUUUUUAUUUAUUUUGUUUCUCUAGUAUUGUGAAUUUAAAAAUGCUUCUUCGGGAAAAUUUCAUCAUAAUUGACAUAUAUCAAACUUGGAAUGUAUAUUUAAGAUGAAUUUGUCUUCACAUGUGAAGAAGAAAGGGAGUAUGAGCAAAACAUCAACUUUGAUUCCAUCUUUCUUCUCCAUGGCUUGAAAAUGGGUUGUCUUAUCUAUUGUGCCUGGUUUGGUAUCAGAUUGCAAUGCACUGAUUGGUUCACUGCCUAAUUCUUAUUGUUUUGCAGGUACAAUAGGGGUUGGUUCUACCACAAAGAACACAGGUUGUGGUUCAUUAGAAUCGGGGAAUCUCUUGUGAAAACAAAUGCGUAUGAAAGAGGAUCAUAUCACUGUUUUGAUCCAAACUCAUUUGACAUCGUUCAAAAGGUGAGUAUAUCCAAUUUCUGCUCAUCGAUUGUAUCUUUCUUUUUAUUUGCCCUCUGAAGAACCAACAACCAUCUCAUUGCAGGAAAAUUUUGUUGUCUAUUACGAGAUGCUGGAAAAAAGACCAUCCCUAUCUCAAGAUUCUCAACAUUGAGUGUAAACUAUCCCUUCUUCAGUAAUCAGUAUUUAUAAUGUAAAUUUCCUACCAAAGUAUCCAUUGGUUGGGAAAUCCAUAGAACAGGAACCAGUGUCCAACAUGUAUUUUUUUCUCGGGAUUAGCUUUUUAUUUUAUUUAAGUCCUAGAAACUUUUGUUGUUGAUCAUAUAUAGCUGAAACUCUUCAAGCUAUAGGUUAAAAAUCAAUGCACAUCUCUUCCCCAUUCAGAAUUGGUGUUGCAUUUAAGAUUACUUUCUUCCUUUCUGGUCUAAUCCUUGUUCGAUUUCUUGGGUACGAAGCAUCUCAGGUAACUCCUCAACACCAGUGCUUCACCGGCAUCAACUCAUUGAAUCAACCAUAUCAGGAAAAGGUACAUCAACUUCUUGCCGUGUACAUAAAUGUGAAAACGGAUUGAAUAUCGUCAACGUCAGAUUGCGUACAUUUUCUUACACUCGUUUUGGAGAAUAUCAGAAUCUGUAAGCUGUGGAAUUCCCCAUGAUCCAGAUUUACUGUGGAUGGAGGAUCUUCUAAUGUUUCUUGCAUUGGCAGCUUCAAUCUUGUGUUGUAUUAUCCAGUAGCACAUCGUCCCUAAUGUCGUGAUCAUUAUUGUUGCCCCAAUAGCAGUCACCCAAAUAGCUAGCCACUUCUCUUCUUCACCAACAACAACAAACGACAAAGCCAAAAAGGCAACAGAGAUGAGAACACAGGCAAGCCACAUGAGUUUGUUUAUCACAGCCAUCAUCUGUUUCUUGGCCUUGCUCUCUAUUACCACCACUGAUGUCUGAACCACCACGACUGCUAAAGAGAUGAAAAGAGCGAUCGAAUCAAAGAUGAAGAAAA